ACCUUGCUGCUUUUUUGCCUGUUUUUGAAGAGAACUGUAGGGUUGCUUUGAGUGAGAAGAUGGAGUUUAUGAAGCCGGAUGUUGCUGCUUGUAAUGCUUCUCUUGAAGCUUGCUGUUGUUGCCUUGAAUCGGUAACGGAUGCUGAGAGAGUUGUUGGAAUAAUGUCGAAUCUCGGUGUUAAACCUGAUGAGUUUAGUUUUGGGUUUCUUGCUUAUUUAUAUGCACUUAAAGGGUUAGGAGAUAAGAUAGAUGAGUUAAAAGUUUUGAUGACGAGUUUUGGUUACUCGAAAAACAAUAAAUGUUUUUAUUCUAAUUUGAUUAGUGGUUAUGUUAAGUCUGGUAAUUUAGCUUCUGUGGAGUCGAGUUUUCUCACUAGUCUGAAUGAUAGAGAUGGGGAGGAUGUUUGGAGUUUUGAUAGAGAUACUUUUUGCUUAGUGGUUAAGGAGUAUCUUCAGAUGGGAAAUAUCAAGGGUUUGGCUAAUUUGAUUAUUGAAGCUCAGAAGUUUGAGUCUUCAAAUGUCAAAGUUGACGAGUCUUUAGGAUUUGGUAUUGUUAAUGCAUGUGUUAGUAUUGGAUUAUCAGACAAAGCACACAGUAUUCUCGAUGAAAUGAAUGCUUUGGGAGGCUCUGUCGGUCUUGGAGUCUAUGUACCGAUCUUGAAGGCUUACUGCAAAGAGAAUCGAACUGCCGAGGCUACUUUAUUGGUGAUGGAGAUUAGUAGUUCAGGUCUUCAGUUGGACGUGGAAACGUAUGAUGCUCUGAUAGAAACGUCAAUGUCCAGUCAAGACUUCCAGUCGGUGUUUUCUCUGUUUAGAGAUAUGAGAGAGGCGAGGAUUACUGAUUUGAAAGGGAGUUACUUGACUAUAAUGACAGGUUUGAUGGAGAAUAAUCGACCUGAGUUGAUGGCAGCUUUCUUAGAUGAAGUGGUUGAGGAUCCACGCGUUGAAGUUGGUACUCACGAUUGGAAUUCUAUAAUCCAUGCUUUUUGUAAAGCUGGUAGAUUAGAAGAUGCAAGGAGAACUUUCAGAAGGAUGAUAUUCCUGCAAUUUGAGCCAAAUGAUCAGACUUACUUGUCCAUGAUCAACGGAUAUGUUUCGGCAGAGAAAUAUUUUGAUGUAAUGAUGCUGUGGAAUGAGGUUAAACGAAAAUUAUCAGCCGAUGGACCAAAGGGGAUCAAAUUCGACCAAAAUCUGGUUGAUGCAUUCCUGUAUGCUAUGGUCAAGGGAGGUUUCUUUGAUGCUGUGAUGCAAGUUGUUGAGAAAUCUAAAGAGAUGAAAAUAUUUGUUGAUAAGUGGAGAUACAAACAAGCAUUCAUGGAGAAACAUAAAAAGCUCAAAGUGGCCAGGUUAAGAAAAAAGAAUUUCAGAAAAAUGGAAGCGCUUAUUGCUUUCAAGAAUUGGGCUGGCUUAAAUGCAUGAACUGUAUGUACCGGUGAGUGACUACCUCUUAUCUCAAGGAUUAUAUCAUCACUUCUGGAUAUAACAGCUUAAAAUGAUAGUCAAACAAGGAUUCAUUUCAACGUAGAUGUUCUUUCGAGAAGCGGGCUUUAUGAUUUCACAAAUUCAAAGCACUUCAAUAUUUUACAUUUCUCGAUAACAAACAACAGAAUUUUGGGUCUUGCGGGUACUCCUUAAGUUCCUAUUCUCUUUAUAAUUUUUGAUGUAAUACGAAGGUAUUUAUUCACAAUCUUUUAACAAGUGUUUACGCCUAAUUAUAGCAUUUUUGGGCCCAAUGUAAUAAUUUUUACUAUCUUGUUCUCACUUCUCUCCCGAUUUUUCUCAUUGUUUGCGCCCUCAGCUCCCUUAUUGUACAUAAAAUAAGAACUUCAAACACACACUGAAUCAGUGAACUUCUUAUGGUUUUAAGGAGGAAGUGAUAGGCAACUCUAAGGCAUAUUUAAUACCACCAUACAUCUUAUAGUUCAAUAUCAUACACCUCAACUAUUGUUUGUACGAACUUCUUUGCAUUCAAUGUUCUUAUUGCUUGUUUUUGCUUCCAUUGAAUUUUUCAUUUAUUUGUCUUUAUCUAAACCAUAUAGAAAUUAAGCACUAUAUCUAAGUCUGGUUUGUAGCAGGAUAUUGUUCUUCCCCAAAACUCAUGUCUGCAGGUUUAAUGUUUUGAUCCAGUUUCACAUAUUUUCUAAAAAAUCCCAGAACUGUUUGAUAAUAGCUCUCAUAGUUGAGACUUAAUAAACUAUAUCAGUUGCAAAUAGCGAGGACAGUGGUUUUUGCCUUCAUCAUAACUUCAUUACUUUAUAUGAAAACGUGACUACAUAAAAGUUAGAAAUCCCGGCUGAAAAUGUGAAGCUGUUUACCAGAACUGCUGCCACAAUGAUUAUGAAGCAAGUAGGCUUCACUCUAAGGUGGUUGUUGCCACAACCUCAUCACCAUGAGGACUCAAAUCAUGGUCUCUCUUCCCAUACUUUCAUUUCUCCUAUCUACCAGAAUUUUCAAUAUGCAAAACCAAAUGCUUAAGUUGAAAUUUCAGGGUUUUGCCAUGAGCACCAUGUACAAUUGGAGAGUCUGUACUAUUGUUUGUUCACAUGGUGAUGCUACGAGUGUCGCAAUCAGAUCUAAGUGUGUUUUGUCUUGGAAAAGAAGUUGGGCAGGAAGCUACAACUUAAAGGAGGGUAGAUGGCUUGCUGAGAAAGAAGAGAUUAACUUUGUAGAUGGAUAAAUUUGAAGUGCUCCAUGCUGGUCUGGUAGUUAUAACAAGGUUACUAUACUCUCUCUACGCCUUUACUUUUUUAGUAUCAUUUAUUACUCAGGCAGCAUAGGGAUAAAUGAUAAAAUGACUAAUGUGAGCUAGAUUAAAGUAUAUCAUCUACUCCCUCUGUUCCUAAUUAGUAUCAUGUAUUCUAUGUAAAGCAAAAUACUAGUGCUGAUGAUAUUUCCCUUCUUGCAUCCAUAAUUCUAAGUAACAGUGAUUCAGGCUGUUUGAAAACCACAGGAAUUUCCUCUGUGUGAUGGAUAUGGUUUCAUGAUCAGCAUCAUCGACCCCUUUCAAAAACUUGUUUACCCUUUCAGACUUUGCUGUACGAUAUGAUGAAAAGUCAGCACACAAAUUACAAAGUCUCCAAGUCGACGCAUGUGCACUUUCCAGGCUGGCUAUCUCGUAAGUUUUUGCAAUGGUUUUGAUGUGUUAGCAAAGGGGUGUAAUCUGUAAUUAUAGCACUGUUGUUUAUGUUUAUUUUUGAAGAUGGAGAUUUAGCUGAUUUAGGGUCAUUCAAGGGUUCACCGUUGCAAUCUUGCUCAUCUGAAAUUUUGUUGUACAAGAGGCAAAUAUCCUUUUUGUGAAACAUGUUAAGAGAAGGAUAUGAUUCAAUCUAACCUCAUACAUAGACCCUGGAAAAAUGGUCGAUUUCGAAGUGUUGGAGAUCUUACCAGAGCUUUGAGCAUAAUUAAAGAAAAGCUCAAAGAGGGCUCUGACAUUUGCAACGCUACCUUAACAGAAGAUAAAGAUAUCAUCUGCAUAUAAUGUAUGAGAAGGAACUCGAAGAGCCCUCGUGCCUGACAUAGGUACUAACCUACCUUCACUAACCAAUUUGGUGAUAUUGCUACUGAGCACCUCUUCAGCUAAGAAGAAGAGAAGAUGUGAUAGGGAUCACCAUUGGUACUGACAUAUGAGCAGAAGAUAGAAUAAUUGAAACCCAAUUGUAGAACCGUUGAUCGAAACCAAAACCCGAUUCAAGUUGUGAAAUGCCUUGCACACAUCUACCAUGAUAGCCAUAUUUCCACCCAAAGGUUUUUCAUCCAAAAGAUUAAUAGCUUCUGAUGUCAAACAGAUACCAUCCUUUAUAUUUCUAUCCCUGAUGAAUCCUUUUUCCUCUUUAAGACUAAAAAAGGACAUAAUGAGACCCAUUCUAUCUGCCAAAAAUUUAGUAUGUUAUUUUGAACUCAGUUAGGAAUUGAUAUUGGUCUAAACCUGUCCAUCUUGUCAACAUCAAUUUACUUAUGAAGUAGAAAAAUGGUGUUGGCAUUAAAAUAUGCCAAUGUCCAACCUGAGAUGAAAAAUUGCAGAACAACAUUGCACAUAUCCAUUUUGACAAUCUUCAAUUAAGUUUGGUAAAAGAAUCCACCGAAACUAUUUGGUCCAGAAGAACCAUCUUUACUUAGGUUGAACAUAAUCUUGGUAAUUUCUUCAAACUAAGGAAUUGAAGUUAGCAAAAUGUUCAUGAUCUCAUCCCUAAAUUUCGAAAUCACUUGCUCAACCAUAGCGCUAUCUUGAGGUGCAGCUGCACACCGCAUGACUUGCAAUAUCUUGAGCAUAUAUGAGAAGGUUUUCUCCAUCUUUAAGCAAAUUAAUUUGACAUCUAGACCAUUUAAUUUUUGGAAUUUUUUUAAUGCACUUAAUAUAUUAUUUAUGCAUCACAUGAAAAUACUAAAAUACUUCUAGAUUUUGGAGAUGCAUCUUCGAACACACCCACACACAACCUAAGUCAUUCUGAAUGAUGUUUUAUUAGUUGUUGUUUUUACCCUGAAGAUGCAUAUCUGAAACCUAUCCGUAGAUGCACCUAUAAAAAAAUAUGUGCAACUGAAGCAUAAGCCAAAAACUUCUAUUUCGACAAAAUAUAAUUACCAUUCAUAACAUAAAAUAAGCAUUACAUUUGCGAUUUUAACAUAAGAUGAAACAUUACAUUUCAAUAUACAGGCGGACGCUUCAACAUCUUCAAAAUAUUUUCGGCCGAUCUUGAAAUCAUCGCUUCUAACUCAAGCGAAAUUUUUGUUUCGAAAAUUUCACAUAGCCCUUACAUCUACAUCUAUCUUGAGCUCAAAGUUGAUGAACUCAAUAUUCCCUUCAUUGUCAGUCAACGUUGAACGGUACUCGAGCUUGACAAUUUUUUGAUUGUUUCCAUGAGGUAGGAGAUUAUGCACUUCGUAUUUCAGAUGUACAAAAAGGUGUAUUAAUUGAGCUUAAACUUUCGCCCGAGUGUCGAGCUGGAGAAGGAGACAUUUGCGACAUAACAAAUAAUGUUUAUUUAUGACAUUUAAGAUAUUUUCUGUUUGUGUGAAAUAAAUAAAUAAGAACCCCUUAUUUACAACAGUUGUGGACAAAUGUGGACCUCAAAAAUUCUAUCAUGUGUACUAGUGCUAGUUUUAGAGAUAUAUCUCUGGAACGAAACCAUAUUUUCUUCUUUCGGAGAUAUAUCUCUGGAACCUAUCCUGAACCAAACAUAAUGAACCGGGCAGAAAAUAGAACCUAAUUGAUAACUUUGUUUGGCAAAUGAACAAAUGAUUUGGCACAAAUAAAAAAUGUAUUAAAAUAUCUUGGAAUUAUGUAUAUUACACUUCAUUAAUAUCAAGACCCAAUUACAUACACUUAUUGGUCCGACUAAACAGAAAACUAAAAUGAAUCCAAAAAUUUAUCGUCGGCUAAAUCUAUAAGUAUGAGUGGUAUCCCCCUUUGACUUUUGUGCAUUUGAUUUUCUUUCAAUGUUACUCAAUUUCUCGAACUCUUGCAUCUUUUCCACAAAUUGGUCCAGCCAAGUCUCAGGUUUUGUUGUUGAAUGAGAUGCCCACUCUGAUGAUGUAAGUGGUAUAGGGCAUUCCAGUUUCAAGUAAACUUGAACGAAGUGUCGUGAUUUUGAAAGCCACCAAAUACACAUAAUAUGAUCAUUUAGAUUUUGAGGUGGGGCAAUGCGUAAUGGGAAAAAGGUUUUCGAAAAACUGUAUCGUACAAGAUCAAUACACACUCUCAUAUGCGUAUCUAUAAGGUGACACAUUUUAGGAAAGCAUAUCCAUUUUUCCUCCGGUGCCGGUCCACUAUUGUAAGGAACAAGAGACUCAUAAAUUGCAUCAAAGUUUUCUUUCUUUCCAUAAAGCCAUGUGUAUGUUCUUUAUGAGUCCUUAACUCAUGGAUAAGUUGAUGGCGAACAAUUGUAUGAUUAUCUUCUCCUUUAUCGAGUAAAUCCGAAACAACUUGAUAACCGUAAUUACCGUCACCCUCAAUAUUGACGAUCCACUUGAUGUAUUUGUGCAUAAACCUGAUAUCUCGUCAAUGAAUAGAGUCUUUGGUGGAGGAGGCGAAAGAGGUGGUUUGCUAAUGCGAGCUCCUUUGAAAACACUUUUUUUGAGAUUUUGGAGUUGGUGAGUCCGGAAUUUUUUUGUCAACAUGUUCAAAAUACGAAGGAAUUCACACCGUUGAAUUAUCACUCGAUGUAGGCUUGAGUUUCCUCGUAGCACCUUUAGUUUUUACCGGUUGAGUUGGUGGUUUCAAGUCGGUGGUUUCUGGAUAAACAAUCUUCCUCAAUUGUUCUUUGAUGUGGAGUUUCAUAUUUUCAUAGGCUUUUAAAAAUCUCUCUUGUAUCACUUCUCAUUCGGUCAAGAUAGAUAUAUUCGAUUUUACGUAUUUCAUGACACCAUCAUCAUUAAACCUAAGCCUCUUCCAGUAAGUGAAAACUUAAUUCAUUCUUAUCAGACUACCAAGUUUCACCUUCUUUGAAAUAACACAAACAUAUGAGAUACCAUAUGUUUUCACAAUUGCACAUCCAUAUUUUGCGCUAUCGGAGCCUACAUUAUCAGCUCAUUUACCUUCGUAAAAAAUAUAAUUCAAACUCGCUCGAGAUAUGUUGUCAACCAACUAAAUAAAGAUUGUUGUCUUUAAAUAUGUGUUCCAAAAUUGUGAUGCUCUGACCAAAUGAUGUAUGUAUCUCAUUAUGCUAGUUCUGGAUUAUUUGGUUCAUAGAGUCUCAAUCUCUGCACAAAUUGCUCUUACUAUUUCCCAAUCAAUUAUUCAAUGUAGCAUGGGCAGACUCAACUCAGUUAGUUGUUGUAUUUCCAAGGUGUCUAACCUGAUCGGUCCAUGCACAUACACUUUUCUCCUUCAUUUGGUCAAGAAUUGUGCUUUCAACAUAUUUCGACAAAUUAGGAUAUUUCUCACACACUUUCCUAAAAUAUAUAACGGAAUCGACAUAUAACUCUUUAGUGGAAGAAUUUACUAUACCAUUCCAUGCAUCCAUUAUUUUUUCCACAACCACACCUGCCUUCACCAAUUUUCCAUCUUUGGACUUUAUCUGUUUCGUUCCUAUUAUGGAUUUAACUCAACUUAUCACAUUCUUUGUUAUGUGAUACCUACAAAGUAAUGCAUAAAAAUUAGGAAAUACCUUUGCAACUGAAUUCACCAAUGCGACAUCGCAGUCGGCAACAAUCACUUUAAGCAUCUCUUCUUGGUCCUUCAACAUUGUUCGUCACACCUCUAAGGCCCAAGUAACAUUCUCCUCUUUUUCACUCUCUAGAAAUGCAAAUCUGGCAUAAUAAGUCUUCUCAGUAGAGAUAACAGCAAUCAUCUCCAAUACUGGAAGUUUGUACUUGUUGGUCUUGUACGUUGAAUCAAUUAUGAGCAUAGUAGGAAACAUGUUGAACAAUUUGAUGGAAUCAAGAUGAGUUCAAAAAAUACCUCUAACGGUUACUCCAUCCUCACACUUUCGGUACCUAGACACAUAAACGUUAUCAUCCAACAGUUUCAAGAGUUGUUGCAUUUCGGUUUUAUCCCCCCUCAGCGUCUUGUUAGUUUGGUACCAAAUAUUAUACACUUGCUUGAUAUUUGAGAUAUUUUCGGGUCUUUUAUGCUUCAAAGUUGCAAGUAUAUUUUUUGGUUGAACCAAAUUCAAUGUCAUGUCUGAAACACAUUCCUUCUCUUCCGGCAUGAGGCGACACACAAUUGGAUGACUGACUAACUUUUCACACAAGUCAUGGUUAUGUAAACCACAUAUGAAAUUAAAUCUCUAUUUCUUGUUUGCCAAGAUAUAACCACGCAACUUAAAGGGACACUCACAUUUUCUUGAACCAAUAUCAUCUCGUUUAAAAUUCCGUAGAGGAGAUAUAUAUUUUCCACUUCUUUCGCAUGUCAUUGUCACAAAUGCACAUCUUCUAUCUGAGCCAUUAUCGGAACUUCAGAUUACCACACCAAAUUACAGUUUGGAGGUCUCCUUACGAAUCCAUUGAAGCAUGUGAACACGGAAUUCAACUCUUGCUCAUUUUUAAAUUGGUUACCAACAUCUACCGCCUUCAUAACCACACCUUUCGCAUCGAGAGACACAUGUUUGGAGAAAACAUCGGAGUGCAUCAUAUCUAAUGAAAACAGUUACAACAAAAUACUCAAUAAGUGCAAAUUAUGUAGACAAAGUUGAAAAAAUGAACACAAAUAGAUAUCAAAAAUGCAUUUUUCGGAUGAGUUCAUACUCAUUCCGAAAAUGUAUCUCCAAAAUAAAUGCACAUUUUCAGACUUAAAACAAGAUUAAUUUGAGCAACGAGGCUUGGAAUAAAUUAUCUUUAUCUGAAAUUCCAACUUCUUUUACUCCUUUUAAUAUGAUGAAACGUAAGAUUGAAGAUUUGGAGUAAAAAUGUGGAUUGAGAAUCGAAGGGUUUUUUGGUAAAGGUAUUUUUCAAUCUUAUAGGAUGCCAUAAGAAAUUUUCUAAUUUUUUCCUUCCUAUGAAAGAUGUAUUCCUAUCUCCUUGAAAGUGCCAAACAAUUCUAAAUUUCUUCUACCAAAACCUUUUUCAAAUCAACCUGAGCAAUAUUCUCAUGUAGAAACAGCUCAUAUGGGCCUCCUCUUGAAUAAAAUAUUAAAUUAGGAGAGAUUGGAAGUUAAAAUUUUCAACCGGCUGUUCACAUCCCCAAACACAUCCUUGUUCCGUUGUCUGGGAUUAACCUUAAGCAACUUAAGCGAACAAUCCACCACCUAAAAAUUCCAACAAUUUUGGAUGAAAUGAUAACAUUUAUAAUGCAGAGACCACAUCUUGUGAAAUUUGAAAGGAGAAGUCACUCUAGAGGCAAAGAAUUUGAAUUCAAAUAAAUUUGGAUAAUUGUUAGACCUAAGCUUUGACAUUGCAUUAAAAACUCUAUCCAGCCUUAUUUCUUAAUCUAUCAUUAGAUCAAGUGCACAAUGCUGCUUUAGUGUGGAGAUCAACCAAAUUGUUAGAAUCUACUCAAGAAGUAGAACAAUCUAAAAGUUAGAUUUAUUGAGUAAUUAAUAUAUUAUGUUAAUAUACAAAUUAAAUAAAUUAGUUAUUCAAUAAAUUUAGCAAUUAAAAUUUGUUCAUACAUAAAUACAAAUAAAUAUUGUUGUUUAAACUUUAAACUAAUUUACACACAUUUAAUCCGAUAAGUUGAGCUACUUCCUCCACUCCUAAUUUUUUUUUAAAAAUUAUUUCUAAAUAGUAUCUUAUUUUUGAAAAUUUAAUCACAUAAUUCCUUUUCAUUUUCAAUUCUAACAUAAUAAGAUAGGAAGCUAUAUUCCACAAGAGGGAAUUAGCCCAUAACUUUCAAGUUCAAAUUAUUUUAAUCUAUUUUUAUAUUUGAAGAUUUUAAAUUAAUAUAUCUUUAUGUAAGAAUAAAUUUUUGAUAAAAUAUUAAAGGAAUAAAAUGUUUGAUAAUAAUUUUCUCAAAAAUAAUAUUUUUAGAAUAAGCAUCUAAACAUAUUUAACUUUUUAUUUAUUAUAAAAUGUAUAAUUUAUUGUAUUAAAUGUAAAAAUAUUUCAGUUGAAAUUGAUGUAUUUAGUUUUUUUAAAGUUUAAAAAUAAUUAUAUUUUCAAUACCAAUUUUCCAAUUUUAUAUUCAAUUAUCUAACAAUUAAAAUAUUAGAGUGAGAGAGUGACAUAUUUGUUUUUGUUUAGUAUCUUAAUUAUAUAUAGUGUUGUGUGAAGUAUAAUUAAUCAGAAUAUCAUUCUUAAACAUCAAGAAAAAAUGGAGGAAUCAAUAUUUGUUUUCUUCUCACUUCUACUACUUUCUUCAGUGCUACAAAGUGCACACUCACAUGGAAAUCAUCCACUGUCAAAAGUUGCUAUUCAUAAAUCAACAUUUUCCCUUCUUCACCUUGCUCACAUCAAACCAACUCCAUCACUUCUUGGAUUACAAGUAAGUUUCAACCAUUUUUAGAAUCACAGACACCAGAAACACGACCCUGAUUAGGACACAUCCUUUUCAGAGGCUUUUCAGAGGUGUCAGUGCUACCGAGAAUAUAACUUAAUUUGCAAUAACUUUUAUUGGUGUGACUAUGUCAAGCUUUCUUUUUUUUGCUUCUAGAUUAAUUUUCAUGCUUAUUUUAUUAUUGUUGAUCCUAGUUUAGUUGAUUCUUUUGUAGGGGCAAACUUCAGAAUGGAUAACUGUAGAAUACAGUUCUCCAAUUCCUUCAAUUGAUGAUUGGAUUGGAGUCUUUUCUCCUGCAAACUUUAGGUCAAAUUCAAAUAUCUGUUUAUAUCUAUACCAUAUAGCUACGAAACUGGCUUUCAAAUUCUAGUCCUUUCACAAAUUCUAUAUAAUAGUAGUAACAAUCAAGCUUGAUUGACUUUUCAGUGAUUCUACAUGUCCAAAAGAAAAUGGUAGGGUUUAUCCACCACUAUUGUGUUCUGCACCUAUUAAGGUACAUGUGUGGAUGUAACCAUUAAGGUCUACUAAAUUCUUGCAAUGGAUUUACCAAAAUUAUUUAUCUCAGUUGCUUUUCUUGAAGCCUGAGAAGCUUAAUGUUGAAAGAAUUGAAGUGAUGGUGUAAUGUAUGUGUCUUCUAUUGGACAGUUUCAAAAUGCAAGUUACUUGAAUCCUCAGUACAAAAUAACUGGAAAAGGGCUUCUGAAGCUUCGGCUUAUUAAUCAGAGAUCAGAUUUCUCAUUUGGACUGUUUUCUGGUGGCUUAUCAAAUGUAAGUUCGUCAUUAGUUUGAAAUUCGUUGACUCGCCUUAUUUACCUUUUAAUCCUAGUAUCAUGGCUGACAUGAAUUUCUUUUGGAUUUUCGCACAUUUGAAUACUAAUCCUUUAUUCAGUAAUUUAGAUCAGAUUCCCCGAUUAUACAAAUUCAAUUCCCUCAGAAGCUUCUAGUUUUCACAUCUAUCAUAAUUUAGCUAAAAUGCAAUCACUUAUUUGUUUCUGUUUACCUGUUGAUAGCCAAGGCUAGUGGCCGUGUCCAAUAAAAUCGCUUUUGCAAAUCCAAAUGCACCAGUUUACCCUCGUCUGGCACUAGGAAAGUCGUGGAAUGAGGUAAGUUCAACUUCUUCUGUCGUAGAUUGCAUUACUGAAAAAAUGGUUGUUUUACUUUUUUUCAAAAUUAAAAUGUUAACAUUUAUCACUUAAAAACAGAUGACUGUAACAUGGACAAGUGGAUACGGGAUUAGUGAUGCCGAGCCUUUUGUUGAAUGGAGUCCAAAAGGAGGGGAUCGUGUACAUUCACCUGCCGGGACACUGACUUUCACUCGUGAUAGCUUAUGUGGUAAGUAAGCCAAGCCUUACCUUUGAAUUUGUGCACUUCAUUUAUAUACUGUGAUUAAUUUUUCUUACACGUCCAGAUUCUUGUCCGGCACACUUCUGAUAUAGACACGAUCUCUUUGUCUAUGUUUCAUAUAUCCUUAACAAGUGCUUAGGCCAGGCCACCAAUAGAAUCAUCAGUUUUACUCACCAUAUUUUGUUUAAUGGAAAUUUUUUCCAACAAUGUUGGUCAUCACUCGCUAACAGGUGCACCAGCUAGAUCAGUAGGAUGGCGUGACCCUGGAUACAUUCACACCAGUCAUCUGAAAGAACUGUGGCCUAACAGAAUGUAUGUUAUUUCUAGCUUAUACUGGCCUAUUUAUAUGCACUUUUUAGCAUAUCAUGUUGUGUAAUCUUUUCUAUUUAAUAUUAAUAAGGUUGUUCUUAUCAUGUCAUGACAUAUGUUUAAUUAAACUGAAUCAAAGUUCUUUGUGCUUUCUGCGUAUUGUGUAGAUACGAGUACAAGAUUGGACACAAACUCAAGAAUGGAACAUACAUUUGGAGUAAACAGUAUCAGUUUAGAGCAGCUCCUUUUCCCGGGCAGAAGUCUUUGCAACGUGUAGUUAUAUUUGGUGAUAUGGGGAAGGUUUAAACUUUGAACUUUGAACUGUUAGAUUCAAAGAAAAGUUAAGAUUCAUAAUGGAUUGCAUUUGUUUUAGUUUCAAGUUUCUGAUAAAUUAUUUAGAUUGCCUUUGUUUCGACAUGCUUAUGAGAUUCUAUUCGCUUGGCUGUGAACUGUAAUCGUAUUAUCAUGCAGGAGGAAGUUGAUGGUUCCAAUGAAUACAACAACUUUCAGCAUGGUUCAACUAACACUACCACACAACUUAUCCAGGACUUAGAAAACAUUGACAUGGUUUUCCAUAUUGGAGAUAUAAGUUAUGCAAAUGGAUAUCUUUCUCAGUGGGAUCAAUUUACAGCACAAGUAGAGCCAAUUGCAUCAGCUGUGCCUUACAUGAUUGCAAGGUUUUUUUAUGGCAUACUUCAAAAAUGAGUCGAGGAAGUACUUUUCUUUUAAUAACAAUGAAAUUCUAAUAAUGCGGUUUUCCAGUGGGAACCAUGAGCGCGACUGGCCUGGGUCAGGAUCCUUCUAUGGGAACAUGGAUUCUGGAGGAGAAUGUGGUGUUUUGGCAGAGACUAUGUUCUAUGUCCCCGCUUCAAACAGGGCUAAAUUCUGGUAUGGCAGACACUGUUUUAUUUGUUUUCUUUUUAGAGAGAAUGUUACCUUCUGUUGGAUUUAAAAAUUUGCAUUGAUUGAGAGGUGAAACAUUCACUGUAAAUUGAUGUUACAUUUUUCUACUCUUGCUUGCGAGGUAUUCCAUUGACUACGGCAUGUUCCGUUUCUGUGUUGCUGACACUGAACAUGACUGGAGAGAAGGAACGGAGCAGUACAAGUUCAUCGAGCAUUGUUUGUAUUGGAAUGAUAGGCCUUGCCUUUCUAUUGAUUUUCAAUGAUAUAUAUACAAUCAGUUUUUCUCUCUGUCUGUUUGCUAUACAAUCAAGACUAUUUAAUAACAAUAAUAUUCUAAUAAUAACAAUGAUAUCCUAAUAAUAACAAUGAUAUUNAUACAGGUGCAAAAGCCAGCGGUACUGCAAUAUAAAAAGGAAGGCGUUCCUUCAUUCAGUUUCAGGAUUUUGAGGCGUGAAGAUUUUGUGUAGUUCCAUCAUACUCACUGCUGUAUUUUUGCUGAGUCUUGUAUUAGACGUAUCUUGUAAGCCAAGUCAUUAUCAAGUAGAUGAUAGCUUUGGUCAGUAGGGUGUUCAUUGAGUUGUAAGUGUGGUGUCACUCAAAGCUUUUAAGCGUGAGUGCUGUGAUCUUGAUUAAAGCUGCUGAGCACAAUCAAGAUUGUUGAAGUGUGACUUCAACUUGUCUUUAUAUUUUAAAAAGAUAGUAAUCACUGAGGUGAUGAGGGGAGUGAGUAGGAACUCUAAUCUCAGGUUAAGAUUGAAAUUGCAUCUGGGUAGGGAUUAAAAGUGAUAUAUUGUAAACGGUUGAUUGUUUAGCUUUGAAUUGAUACUACUAAUAGUGGGAUUCCUCCCUGGCUUGGUAGCCCCCAAGAUGUAGGUCGUGUUGGGACUGAAACUGGGUGAACAAUUACUUUGUGUUAUUUACUGCACUUACUGUUUAAGUUCUGCAUAAUCCCUGUCUGCAGAAUUGGAUGUCAUAACAACCAGUGUUGACAUCCAAAUCUGAUAACUAGGGAAUUCUCAAUUGGCAUCAGGAGCAGCACCCUGCCUGUGAAUUUCUGGGUGAGAUCUAGGGAAGCUUUACUUUCUAGUCCAUGGACAAGGAUUUAGGACACUCAAACAGACCCACCCAUGUUGGGCAUGCUCUAAUUAUGAUGACUGGAAGCCUCGUAUGAUAGCCUUCUUAAGGUCUCUAGACAAGCAAAGUCUGGAGAGCUGUUCAAACAAAGAUGGAACACUCCAAUGAGGAAACAGGUGAAGAUGGAGUCAGUGUGCAGAUUCCUGAAGAAGAGUGGAACAAGAGGCAAGAGGGCAUUAGCUCUUGAAAUUCCAAGCCUUGAAUGCAUUGUUCAAUGGAAUCAGCAAAAACAUUUCACGGCUGGACACCACUGUGAACUAGCUAAGAGUUUGGGAUACCUCAAGGUUAACCCAUGAAGGUACUUUCAAGGUGAAGAUGUCCAAACUUCAGAUGCUUGGACCAACAAGUUUGAAAAAUCUGAGGAUAAAAAGAAGAGAACUAUUCAUGACUUUCACAUGGAAUAUUCUUGAAAUUGCAAACACCUCUGUGGACUAGGUGAGAAAAUGGCUGAAGAGAAAACUUGUAAGAAAGAUUCUCAGGUCCUUGCCUAAGAGAUUUUGCUAUGAAGGUCACAGCCAUAGAAGGAGGCGCAGGACAUCUGCAACAUGAAGGUGGAUGAAACUCAUUGGUGCCUCCAAACCUUUUGAAAUGGCUUGGGUGAGUAUGCUGAGAAGAAGAACAAAAGCAUAGCUUUUGUAUCUAGAUGCUGAAGAGGAGUCAAGAAGCAGGAUAUACUGAGGUGAUGGAAUAUAUCAGAAAGCAUUAGCCAUGCUUGGGAGACAGUUCAAACAAGUUCGUGAAGAAGAUUGAUCAAAAGAGGUGGACCCAAUUUCAAGAACAUCCCGUCUGACAUAAGGAAAAGAUCAACUUCUGAUGAGAAGUUCAAUCACGGCAAGGGAAUCCAGUGUCAUGGUUGUGAAGGGUAUGGGACACGGUCAGCAGCUGAACUGCCCUACUUACCUCAAAUUUGCAAAAUAAGGGGUUAGCUAUCCACAUGGUCUGAAGGGGGACUUGAAAUGAAUCUGAAGGAGAAUCUGCCAAAACAUGUCACUGCACUAACAGGUGUUUUGCUCUGAAGAUUACUAGUUGCAGAUGAACUGGACCUUGAUGAACUUUUCUGCAUCUUAUAGAAGCUGUGUUCCACUAGUGCAGAAGUGCGUUGCACAAGGAGAAAAGCAAAGAAACUCAUCAAGGAACUGGAAGAUUGAGAGCACAGAUGCAACUGUCUGUCAUAGAAGGGUCUAAAUGGUGAGAUAACCCUGCUUGACCUCCAAGCUGAAUCAGAAUGACGAAUCCUCAGAAUGAUGGAAUAAGGAACUGACAACCUUUGGAGGAGAUUCUAAAGGUGGACAGCAGUCUGGAAACCAAAUUGCCUUGGAUUGGAAAAUCCUCAACUGAACACAAACGCCCAAAGGUAAGCUUCAAAGUUCAAGCGGAAGUCAAAGCCAAUGUCUCAACCUUCGAGGAACUAGGAUGAAUUGAUCAUCAGAAGAGGAAAUACCAGGAGUGGAGGUGUCACCACUGUGUAGGCUGGUCAUAUAAAAGCCUUCUGCUACUGGAAUUCAUGGUUUCCCUAACCAAGCCUUGGCAUGUUAAGCCUAAGCCAUAAAACACAUAGCGCUAUGUUUCAUUAAGAGCAACACAUGGUUAUGCUAGAUAGCACACACUGCUCUAGGGCUUCUACCAGAGAAGACUGGUAUUUUUUGACAGUGGAUGCUCAAGACAACUGACUGUAUGAAAAUCUAACUGGUAGAUAUCAAACCUCACACUACCAGCUAUGUGGACCUUUGGUGGGGUUGCCAAAGGAAAAUAAAAGGUGUGGGCAAACUGGACUGUUUCGGAGUGCCAAAACUGAAUAAUGUGCUGUUAGUAAGAGGACUAACUGCAAACCUCAUCAGCAUAAGUCAGCUGUGUGAUCCAAGGGUUUCAUGUUCAGUUACUAAGGAGCUAAAUGCAUUGUGACAAAUGUGACAAUCAUGAAGUUAGAGAGGAACCAGUCCAAAGAUAACUGCUACCUGUCGAACCUGGAAGUCUCAAACUUUUCCACAACAUGCUCCUCACCAAGGAAGAACAGGAUUGUGAAGUUGUGGCAUAGAGUCUUUGGACAGCCACUUACGGGGAAUAGAAGAUAAUAUCCAAGGAAGCUGUCAGAGGAAUUCCAAAGCUCUGAUUGAUGAAGAAGAGUCUGUGGAGAAUGCCAGGUGGGCAAGCAAACCAAGAUGUCACAUCCGAAAGCUGGACAUCCCACAACCUCCAGAGGUUCUGGAACUGUGCACAUGUACUAAUUGGACUUAUGCAGGUUGAAAGUCUUGGUGGAAGAAAUAUGCAUACGUGGUGGGGAUGACCAUUCCGAUACACGUGGGAUAAGGUUCAUCAGAGAGAAGUCAGAUUACAUUUGAUGUCUUCAAAGACCUGUGCGAUAAGACUUAAAGGGACAAGGGACAGUUUGUGUGGUCCGGAUUAGAAGUGAUCAUGGUACGGAGUUCAAGAAUUCCAAGUUUGAUGAGUUUUUGCUCGUCUGAAGGAAUAAGUCAUGAGUUCUCCUCACCUAAACUCCUCAGCAGAAUGGAAUAGUGAAAGAAAAAAAUAGAAAUAUUCAAGAAAUCUUCCAGAGCAAUGAUUCAUGCAAAGGAAGCUCCCCAUGCACUUCUGGGCUGAAGCAAUGAACACCGCAUGCUAUGUUCACAACAGAGUCACCUUGAGAAAAGGAACCUCCUCCACUCUAUAUGAAAUAGGGAAAGGCAGAAAACCCACUGUGAAAGUACUUUCAUAUCUUUGGAAGUAAAUGCUACAUUCUCACAGAUCGUGAACAGAGAGGAAAGCUAGACCAAAUGAUGAAGGUAUAUUGGGAUACUCCACGAACAGACGAGCCUACAGAGUGUUUAACUAACAGGACAAGUCCUGAUGGAAUCCAUAAAUGUUCAUUGUGGAUGAUAAGAGGAAGGAAAACCGAUGUCAUGGAGGGGGGUCAUUUGAAACAUUUCCUUGACAGUUCAAACUGACAGUCCAGUCAAGUUGAAGAAGUACAGGAACCUCCUCCCUGAAUGUGAAGUAGAUGCCCAACCACAAAGUUGCCAUUAUCAGAAUUCAGAAAGACCACCCUAAGGAUCUUAUCAUAGGGGAUCCCACCAGUGGUGUAACUACCAGGUCAAGAGGAAUAAACUCAAAUUCCUGCUUUGUAUCCAAGGUUUGAACCAAAGAAUGUGAAGGAAGCCCCUGGUUGAUGAAUACUGGAUCACUGCCAUGCAAGAGGAACUUGAGGCAGUCAAAGGAAUUGAAGUCUGGGAGCUAGUCCAAGACCUGAGGGACCAACAUCAUUGGUACCAAGUGGAUCUACAAAAACAAAUCUGAUGAAGAAGGAAGUAAUUACAGGAAUAAGCAAGACUAGUAGCUCAAGGAUACAUCAAGUUCGAAGGUAGAUUUUUGAUGAGAACAUUUGCUCCGUGGCUAGGCUUGAUUCCAUCAAUUGUUGUUUGGGGCGUAGCAUGCAUCCUGAAGUUUAAGCUAUUCCAAAUGGAUGAUGUAAUAUGAAGAGUGCAUCUUGAAUGGCUACCUGAAUAGGAAGUCUAUUUGUGGAACACCUUAAAGGUUCUGUGAUCCUAACCAAACCUGAGCAUGUAUACAAGUGAGGAAAGCCUUGUAUGGGUUGAAACAAGCACUAGGCAAUUGGUAUGAAAGGUUAACGAAUUCUGACCUCAAAUGAUACAGAAAGGGUGGCAUAGAUAAAACCCUGUUUGUUGAAGGAUGAAGAGGCAAAUCAUGAUAGCUCAAAUCUAUGUUGCAUGAUAUAAGUCUUUGGUGGAAUGUCGAACAAAGACAAAAAUUUGUUCACCAGAUGCAGUCUGAGUUUGAAAUGAGUCUAGUGGGAGAACUGACCUUUUCCUUGGAAUGCAAAGUUAACCAAAUGGAGGACUCUAUGUUUCUCUCCCAAAGCAAGUAUGCCAAGAACAUAGUAAGAAGUUGGUAUGGAUAAUGCUUAGGCACAAGAGGACUCCUGCUCCCACUUCUGAAAUUGACCAAAGAUGAUGGAGGGCCUAGGUGUAGAUCCAAUGUCUGUUAUAGAAGCAUGAUAGGUUUAGGGGAGUUUGGCUGUUACCUAAACUGCAAGUAGAACUGACAUUCUUAUGCAGUUGGGUGUGUGCCAGAUAUCAAGCAAGAGCCUAAGGUGAGCCACUUGACAUCAAGUACAAAACGAAUUUCUCAAGUAACAUCAAUGGGACAUGUGACUAUGGAUGUUUUGUACUCACUGGGUCUGAGCCUGUCCUAUCUGGGUAUUGUGAUGCAGACUGGCUGGAGUGCUGAUGACAGAAAAAGCACAUCAGUGGAUGCUUCUUCUUAGAGACAACCCUCAUAUCUUGCGUUCAGCAAGAAGCAAACUGUGUCUCUCUGUCACUUGCAAGCUGAUUCACAUAGCAGCUGGAAGCAGUAUGUUCCCAACUGGUUUGGAUGAAACAGAUUGCUCACUUGAUACAAUGUCACUCAAAAUGUUCAUGACAUGUUCUUUGGAUGAAUCUCAGUGCCAUCAAUAUCUCCAAGAAUCCCAUCACACAGCAGACCAAAAACAUAUUGACAUUAGGCACCACUUCAUCAGAGAUCUGGUGGAAGAAAGGUGAUCACUUUGGAACAUGUAGCCACGGAUCUUUCCAAUGGCUGACAUAUUUACAAAGGCUCUGGAUGCUACUCAGUUUUGAAAACUUAAGGAGCAAACUGGGAAAUGUCUCUCUUGGAGAACCUUAUUAGCAACCACUGAUGUUUGGGAUAAAUUAUAUAUCUCUUCUAUUAAACAAUUUGUACUUAGGCUGAUGAUUGGUCACCAGAGCACUAGCUAUGCACCUGCAACAAGGGUGGAUAACAAGAGCGGCUAAGGAGACACCUACUGUGAGAAGGCCAAUGUAUCUGCAGGAGUUCAAGGAUGCUGUUCAUGCAGGAGGGUUCUGGAUGUCAGAACACAUCAUGGCAUCUGAUAUGGUGGUACCUACUGUAAAGCAAAAGUGCGGUGAUUACUUGAUUCAAAGCUGUGAAGCAAGAUCAAGUGGAUGUAACUUGUUGAAACUGUGAAAGUAAAACCAAGUCUUGUAACUCUGUCAGUUAUCUCUUGUUAGUUGUGAGCUUUGGCAACAUUUUUGACAAAAAGGGGAGUAACCCCGAACAAACAGAGUGCGUGGUCUCUACAACAGACACUCAUGGGUCUCUACAACGACUCUCAGGGACGAACAGAUUCCUCCCCUGCAACAACUGUGUUGUUGAAUUUAGAUUUUAACUUCUGUAAUGUGCUGUGCUGCUGUGUGAAGUUUUUAUUUAACUUCCAUGUGUGUGAGUGUUGCUGCCACUCUGAGCUGUAUUAGCUAUAUUAUUUCCUGCUAGGUGUGUGAUUCGCUGCUAUGAACUCUGUUAUGGGAUUCAAAGUGUUUUAGCCAAAGAAAUUGCCCAAAGGGGAGUUUGUAGGUUUAAUUGGCUGCAUUUAUUUGGUAAAACACUAGAUGGUUUACUAAUGUCCUGACUGAUGUUCAUUGACAGGUAUGGGUGAUUACAUUGCUAGUUACUUGCAGGACUAAGCUAACACAGGAUUUAUUGAAUGUCAAACUUGGAUGAUGUGACAUUCAUACUGUCAACAGAUACUAAGGAAUAGAACAGCAGGUUUCUGUCAGAACUUAGUAUUUGAUUUCCAGUCUGGUUAUCAAGGAAAGACCAGACCUGGCAUUUAAGGCCUCUGACUGAAUGUCAAAUGAUGUUAUGACAUUCAUCAUUGACAGCAGCUGCUGAAGAUUAGAUAGUAGUGGUGUUCUGCUAUACUUCAGCAUGUAACUUAUUUGUUCUUCAAAAGAAUACACAAGAACUAACUUAAGGCCAAUUGUGGUAAAUGUUAAGUGGACACUUUGACAUUUAUAAUGUAAGUUGUCACAUGUAGUGAUGGGCAUUUUUGAUCAUGUACAGGUCAGCAAAUUGUACAGCUGGUUUUCUGGAAAAAACAGACUCAGCAUAUGGACCUGAUGUCAAGUGAAUGUCGUGACAUUCAGGCCUGACAGGCAUAUGCUAUAUUGUAGGUUGUUCAGUUUUCUGUUUUCAGCUUUUUCUCAGGCUAUUCUUUCAGGAAGUCAAACAGCUUAGAGAAAAAACCAGGAAAUCAACAACCAAGCUACAUUCAAUGAACCUAACAAAUAGGCCUAUUUGUAGUAACCUAAAUGUUGAUUUAUGGGAACUCGCGUGACCUUAAAUUCAGGAGAAUACAGUGCAAAAAGCCCAGGGUACUGCAAUAUAAAAGGAAGGCGUUCUUCAUUCAGUUUCAGGGAUUUUUGAGGCGUGAAGAUUUUGUGUGCCAUCAUACUUCACUGCUGAUAUUUUUGUGAUCUUGUAUUAGACGUAUUUGUAAGCAAGUCAUUAUCAAGUAGAUGAUAGCUUUGGCAUAGGGUGUUCAUUGAGUUGUAAGGUGUGUUCAAAUCAAAGCUUUUAAGCUGAGUGCUGUGUAUCUAAUGAUUAAAGCUGUUUAAUUGUUUGAAAGCACAAUCAGAGUGUUUGAAGUGUGACUUCAACUUGUCUUUAAUAUUGUUUAAAGAUAGUAAUCACUGAGGUGAUUGAGGGGAGUGAGUAGGAAACUCUAAUCGAGGGUUAAGAUUUGAAAUUGCAUUGGUAGGAUAGUGAUAAGUUGUAAACGGGUGAGUUUAGCUUUGAAUUGAUACUACUAAUAGUGGAUUUCCUCCCUGGCUUGGUAGCCCCCAGAUGUAGGUCGUGUUGGACUGAACUGGGUGAACAAUUACUUGUGUUAUUUACUGCACUCACUGUUAAGUUCUGCAUAAUCCCUGUCUGUGCAGAAUUGGAUGUCAUAACAACCAGUGUGACAUCCAAAGUCUGAUAACUAGAAUUUCAGUAUCAAUACCGCGAUGAAAAACGAAUAAGGAAUGAUCAGAGAUGCUGUGAGAGAAACCCAAUGUGGCAACAUAAUCAGUGAAUCUUUGGUACCAGGCACGAGGUGCUUGUUUGAGACCAUAGAGAGACUUUUUGAGUAGACAAACGUGCUCAGGAUAUUAUGGAUCGCGGAAUCCAGAAGGCUGGUGCAUAUACACUGUUUCAUCCAGAUUUCCAUGCAAAAAGGCAUUUUUGACAUCUAGUUGGUGGAGACACCAUGAUUUGGAUAUUGCAAUGCUAAGUACCAUGCGAAUAGUUGUCGGUUUGACGACAGGGCUGAAGGUUUCACCACAAUCGACACCUGAUUGUUGAUUAGCAUCAUUACCUACAAAACGAGCUUUGUAUCGCUCAAAAGACACAUCAGAUUUCUUCUUGUGCCUGAAAAUUCACAAACUUCGAAUAACAUUAGCAUUAGAGGGACGAGGAACUAAUUCCCACGUCUUAUUUUCAAUAAGAGCAUAAUAUUCGUCUUUCAUGGCCAUUUUCCAAUUAGGAUCUCUUAAUGCAUCAAUUGGAUUUGUAGGCAAAUGAGAGAUUGAUUGGUGGGUUGAUGUGUGUAGGUUGAAAAGCUUACGGGGUUUGACAAUUCCGUGUUGUGACCGGGUUGUCAUUUGAGGUGAAUGAGGUGCAUGAGGGGAAAUGGUGUCGGAAUAGGUGCAGAGGAGGUGGUAGGUGUUGUUUUUGUAGAUGAAGUUGUUGUUUGGGAGGGAGAAGGUGUUUGAGCCGUGGGUGUAGUUUGUUGGGCCGAGGGAGAGGUUGUUUGAUUCGUGGUUGGAGGGGGAGGAGUUUGUGGUGCUGUUGGUGAUGGUGGUUGGGUGACAGUUACGUUGGGAGAGGGGGCUGCUGGAGAUGUGGUGUACAAGUGUGAGGGAAGAAGGGGGAUUAUGCCGUCAUCUAAGAAGUUAUAGUUAGUCGUUGUAGGCGCAUUCAUGGUGGAAAAGGGAAACGUAUUUUCCUCAAAAAUGACAUGCCGAGAAAUAAUGAUUUUAUGACUUGACAAUUCGUAACACUUAUAACCUCUAUGAUUAGACGGAUAUCCUAGAAAGACACAUGGUGUAGACCGAGGUUGGAGUUUAUUCCUAGUGGUGGACGGAAUUAAGGGAUAACAAAGACAUCCAAAUACUCGGAGGUGUGAAUAAGACGGAUCUUUUUGGUAGAGAAUUUUGGUGGGUGAUUGGAGAGUGAGUUUCUUAUUUGGAAGUAUGUUGUGUAGGUAAGUGGCCAUUUGAAGAGCAUGGUGCCAGAAAACCGGUGGAAUAGAAGCAUGAGCAAGGAGGGUUCGGAUUAUAUUAUUGAUUGUACGAAUUUUUCUUUCGGCUUUUCCAUUUUGUGGGGAGGUAUGAGGACAAGAGAAUCGAAAAGACAUUCCAUUUUGUUCACAAAACUUAUGAAAGAGAGCAUUAUCGUAUUCCUUUCCAUUGUCACAUUGAAAACAUUUUAUUUCACGUUCAAAUUGUGUUUUAAUGUGAGCACGGAAUUGUAAAAAAAUGGAAUGUACUUGUGAUUUGUUAGAAACUGGAAAAGUCCACAAAAAAUUAGUAAAAUCAUCAAGAAAUAAAACAUAGUAACGAUGCCCUCCGGAGCUUAAUACUGGAGAUGUUCAAAGAUCGCUAUGAACAAUGUCAAAAGGCAUACAAGUAAAUGAUAAGGAAUUAUAAAAAGGCAAUUUUAUUUGUUUCCCAAGUGGACAAGAUUGACAAAAGAAAUCAUUUCGAAACUUAUUACAUAGCAAAAGUUUGUUUCGAUGAAGAGAAAUUAAGAUAGGAGCUCCUGGAUGUCCUAAACGACUAUGCCAUAACUCGUUAGAUGAAGCAGCAAAGGCGGAUGGUGGUAGUGCUGUUGUGUUUGGUUUUGUGGGAAUAAGGUAGAGGUCGCCAGAACUAUUACAUCUCAUUAAAAGCGUUCCUGUCUGAAAAUCCUUCACAGAAAAACCGAGAUAAAGUUUAAGUUGUCUUUGUAGUAAUAGCUAACAUUUAAAAGACUGUCUAACAAGGUUUUUGAUAAGUUUUGGUGCAUGCAAAACAUUGUUUAAGGUUAGGGAAUUGGGUAAAGAUGCAUGACCACGACCAAUUACAGGUAUAUGAUGACCACUUCCAACAGUAAUAUUAUUACUCAUAUUAAAAUAAGAUGUGAGAUUACCUCCAUUUCCCGUCAUAUGAGAAGUCGCACCGCUGUCCAUAUACCAUUGAUCAUCAGGAGGAGAGAUGGAGAAAGUAUGCAUAGCAGCUUGGAUGUCUGUCAGAGCAUAAGAAGAUGAACCUUGCUGACUGUUCAUGUGAGGUGGAGCAGUUGCCAUGUGAGCUUGUUGAGGUUUAGGACCUAGUAUGUCUGAUUGUUGAUGGGGAGAAACCGUUGUCGGAUAUGGACAUGGUGGAGUGGCCCAUGGCUGCCAUGGAUAUGCCCACUGUUGCUGCUCUCUAGGAUAAGUGGGAGUGGUCCACUGAGGUUGCUGAUAGGGAUACUGAGGCCACUGAUGUGGUUGUGGCUGGGAACGACCUCCACCACGACCAUUGCUUCUACCCCUGCCACGACCUCCACCACGAAGGCCACUGAUGUGGUUGUGGCUGGGAACGACCUCCACCACGACCAUUGCUUCUACCCCUGCCACGACCUCCACCACGACCAUUGCUUCGGCCACCACGACCAGCACCAUUGUUGUUGCGGUUGUUACGCUGUUGAGUUAGAGUGGUUGAGGCCGCGUUAUCAUCAAGAGAUGAUACGAAAGUAGAGUUGCUGCUAGAAUUUUCUGCUUUCUUUGCUUUAGUUGUUUCUUCCAAGAUUAUCAUAGAACGAGCUUUGUAAAAAGGUGGAAGAGAGUCUCCAUGACGGAUUUAUGAACCCACCGUGGCAUACGCAUCUGUCAGGCCAGAAAUGAGUUGAAGAACAAGCCUUUCGUUAGACACGGGAGCACCGACAUUAGAGAGUUGAUCAGAUAGGGAUUUGAGAUAUUGACAAUAGGUGGAGGCAUCAGGAAAUUGCUCCAUAUGAACAUUAGAAAAUUCUUGCUCGAGGUAGAGAGCCCUAGAAUUUUUAUUGUCAUAAAAAAUGUUGAAUAGCCUGUUCCACGCAUUUUCUUGCGCGUUUGAAUUGCGCAAAUGAUGGUUGUGGAGAUGAUUCAUCAGAAAUUGUGCCAUAAAUCCAUUGAAGGACAACAGCAUCAAGACGUGCCCAAAGAGUAGGAUCGGUGUCUUUGAGAUUAGGAGAUGAUGUGGUUUCGGUUGGAAUGAUAUGAUCAAUGACUUGGUAAACACGAGCAUGGAUUUUGAAGAGUUCAUACCAGAUGUUAUAUUGACCCUUUUUAAUACUUAGGGUAAUUUUGAUAAAAUUGGUGAUGUUAGAGAUGAUGAGUGCGGGAUGAGUGGGAGGAUUGGUAUUCUGCGUGGUUACAGAGUUUUUGGAAGGGGAGGAGGAGGGAGAUGAUUGUUUGGUGGAAGAUGAUCGGUUGGUGCUCAUGAUGAGAGAAAGAAAUCUGAUGAGAGAAGCGUGGGUGAGAUGAGAGAAAGAGGAAGGUUGCGCAGCCAGUUAUGUGAGAAGAGCGGUGGCGCAAGGAUUAGGGUUUAGGAUCAGUACCUGAUGCUUACUGAUACCAUAUUGGAAUGAUAGGUCUGACCUUUCUAUUGAUUUUCAAUGAUAUAUAUACAAUCAAUUUUUCUCUCUGUCUGUUUGCUAUACAAUCAAGACUAUUUAAUAACAAUAAUAUUCUAAUAAUAACAAUGAUAUCCUAAUAAUAAAAUGAUUAUUCUAAUAUUUAUAAAAAGGAACACUCAUGAUUCAACUCAUAUCUACAACAAAAUCAAAUAAUUUUUUACAUUUCAAUUAAUAAAAAUUAAAAUGAUUAAUUAAUUAAAUAAUUAAGUUAAUAUUGCAACUAGCAUUUUCAAUCCUUAUUUAUCAGAAAACUAAAAUUUGAUAAUAAUUUAUUACUAUCUAUUAUCUAUUAUAAUAUAUUAAAAGGGAAGCACGCAUUCUCAUACUUAUAAUUCUACUCCAUUGAUCUCACGUUAUCACAUAGUCACACGUGACACAUUCCAAAACUCAUUUUUACUCUUCUAAAAGUCAAAUGCAAUAUUUCUACUCUAUUUGAGGUCACGUGUUCGAAUCCCCGCAAAGACAAAAUAUUACGUUUUCUUAAAAUUAUAGCAAUAAAAAUAACACUUAACACAAAUCUUUUUAAUCUUAAAGUAAUUCUUACACAAUUUUUAGAGAUAGGUUAAUGAGUUGAUCUUAAAAAAUAAUAAUGUAUACAACAAUCUUUUAUCGUUUCUACAUAUUUAUCCUAUAGAGAAUAAUAAAAGCAACAAUAAUAAUAUUUAAAAAAAACACUAAUAUUUCAAUUUGAUAUCAAAGACAAAAUCAAAUCAACUUUUACAUUUCAAUUAAUAAAAAUUAAAAUAAUUAAUUAAUUAAAUAAUUAAAUUAAUAUAGCAACUAGUAUUUUCAAUCCUUAUUCAUGAAAUAAUUAAAGUUUGAUAAUAUUCUACUGUAAUAUAUUUAAAUAGAAACCUUUAAUUCUAUUUCAUUUGUGUCACAUCAUCACAUAGUCAUACGUGGCACAUUCCAAAAUAACUAAUAUUUGAUCGUAUAAACUUUUAAUUUUAUUUAAUACUAAAAAUUAAUACAUAUCUUCAACGAUUUAACAUUAGAUAUCUAAAUCAAAGAUAAGUAUAAAAGAUAUAUAAGAAUCAAAAUAAAACAAUUCCAAUCUUAAUUUACAAGAAUAUAUUUUUCUUUUGUAUUAAAGUAUAUCUUUUUAGAUGUAAUUAAUUUUCUCAAUUAUAAUUCACAAUAAUUUAUUGUAAUAUAAAUUUAUUAAUCAUAUUUUGUCAAAAUAAAUUUUUAACAUAUUUAAAAUUUAAUAAAAAAUAAUAAAGUAAUUUACAAAUGCGCAUAACGUGGGUCUUCUUCUAAUUAAUAUUAAAAUUGAAACAUCAAAUUUCUAAACCUAGAUACAAUAUUGUUUUAGCUCAACCAUCCAUCACAAAAGUAUUAAAUAGCAUCAAUGAAUAAAGGAAUACUCGACACAUAUUGUAUGCACAAAGAAACUCUUCAUCAUAUUCUUAGCAACAACAUAUUGCAUUAUUGUGAAAGAAAAAAAAAUUAAAAUGGAACACGUCAAACAUAAAAUCAGAAAAAAGGAACAAUUGAAAUAUAAAGAAAUUCAAAAACACACAAUUGCAUCACAAAAGAUUUGAGGGGCGAAAUAGAAAAUGAAAAGAAAAAAGAAAGAUAUGAACAAAAUGAGAGAUGCUCUUCAUUAACUUGGACAAUUUUUUGUCAAUUGCCUUAGGAAAAUGAUUAUACCUAUGAAAUCUGACCAAGUUACAAUCAUAGACAAGCCCUUAGUGAUUUAUGCUCGUAAAUAAAUUCAAAAUUGAAUUGUGCAGAUGAAUAUAUGAAUUGAUCAGGAUGUUAGCAAGGUUAUUGGAUGAGAGUCUACUUUCCGCAUGAUUGAAAUCACAAAGUCUUCAUCCAUAUUGUGAAAAAGAGUGAUAGGGUAAUUCAAGUGGAAUUGUGUCAUUGUUUUUAACUGUAUGAAAUGAUGUUUGUAUGAAAGAACUUAUUUAAUAAUCAUACUUGAUUCUAGAAAAGUAAACGAAUACAACUUUCGCAUGUGCAUUCGUCAUUUAACCAUACAUUUUUUGUCAAUUAUUUUGUAAGAGCAUUGUUGAGUCAUGAUCCUUGGAGGAACUUUUUACUUUAGAGUGAUUAUGACCUUGAUUGAGGACAAACAAAAAUUCAAGUUGGGGAGAGUUUGAUAAGUGUCAAAACUACAGUGAUUCUUUACCUGAAACUUGGUGCUUAUUGACUUGUACUAACAAUGUUUUUUUAUAGUUUUCCAAGGUUUUUAAUUAGAAAGUGGUACUCUUUAGUGUGUUGUUGAAUGUUGCAGAAACUUUCAAGAUCACACCUGAUUCAUCACAAAAGAAGAAAAUGUUCGGCACAUUUUGCUAAGCGGAAGGUAGCGAGACGCAACGAAGGGAAAUAGAGGCAAACACACAAAGCUCGCUUGAAGCGAGAGGUAGCGAGAAGCGGCGAGGCAAACACACAACACUUUGCUAAGCGAGAAGUAGCGAGAGACAGCGAAAAGAAACAGAAUCAAAAGUCAGCUUGAAGUGAGAGUUAGCGAAGAACUUCGCUUAACGAGAGAAAGUAAGGCGGUUUGAAGCAUAUUCAGAGUGAUUGAAGGAUGCUUCUCUUAGUGAGUCAUAUUUCGCUAAACAAAAUUGGUUACAACCAGACACUAUAAAAGGGGCAGAAACACAGUUAAUGAGAGUUAAUUAGUUUUUUUCUUUAGACAGAUACCACAUAUAGAAGGAGAGAAGUGUGAACAGUUAGUUGGAUAUGCGUCAGAUAAUUGGGAAAUUGCAUUUGAUACUGAUUGAUCUCAAUUCCUUCGUGAUUAAUCAAGCUACCAUAAUGAUGACUAGCUAAUUUCUUCUCUUGUGUUGGGAUUGAAUGUAAUCCGUCAAAUCGUAUGUGUACUAAUUGAUCAUCAUAUAUUAUAAUCUAGUUGUUUAUAUUCAUCAAAUAUUAUAUUUGCUUUAUCGCUCAACCUUAUAGAUCUGAAUUGUUAUUGACAAAUACUUUUUCAAUCCUGAUCUAAGAUAAUAUUGUGUUAAACUCUUAUCUCUAGACAUAGGGUUAGAGUAUAAUAUUCACGUAAAGUACCAAAGAUUCAUACUAUCUUAUUGUUUGAUAGAUUGAGAAAUCAUUGAUCAAACAACACGAUAGAAUUCUCGACAAAAGUUUAGACAUAAUACAUGUUGUGAGGAUACGUGAUGAUAUGAAUAAACAAUAAGAUUAUACUUGAAAGUGAUCAAGGAAUUCAUAUGUAUUAUGAGGAUGAAAUUCAAUCCCAUGUAUUACGAGGAAGAAAUUCAAUCCCAGCACGUUUUAUCAUUUGUGAAAUUCAAUCCCAUCUAACCGGUUAAUUUGAGCAUCGCUGUUGAUUAUUCAAGCCAAAGAUGGAGUCUAACCAGAAGGCCACCAAAUGAUUUACAUUCCCUUGACCGAAGUGUGUUGUAGUAUCAGACAAAUGUUUUUCUUUUAUAAAGAAAUGGAAUACAACUUCUGCAAAAGAUCUACACUAAGGGGAUUUCUAAAGAAAAGGAAGAGUCUUAUACCCUUGUGCCCAAUUCUGUAUCAGAGUCUCAUCAAACAUUAUCAAAUUGAUGCGCAUAGUCGAAAUGAGUGCAUUUACAAGAAGAAAAAAACCACAGUAACAGUUUUAUGAACUACCAUAAUCUCACAAGGAUUAAGUAUCACAAUCCUCGGGAUAUAAUCACCCUCACCCUCGUAGAAAGAACUAUGGGUUAUAAAUAUUACAUGCCUACACGGUAUGGACAGGAACAAAAUAUAAUGCUAGAAGAAACAAAGCAACUUGCAACCUUCGCCUUUCUCAUUCGGUAUUACUCUUGAGGAUAGGUUCACCAUUCUUCUCUUUUGUGCUAUCCACAAUUUUGGUUUCAACGUGACCAUACCCCUCAGUUGCAUUGACAUUGGCUUCAAGAGUGUUUGACUCUUGGAGCAGCUUUUGAUCAAGAUUCUGAGCAGCUUCUGACUCUUCAGAUUUGUCACCUUCACGUCUUUCGUUGAGGUUUUGAACAGCUUCCGCAUCAUUUUUGGCAGCGUCAGCAUUUUGUGUUUGAUGUUCCCCUAAACUUUGAGAAGCUUCCAACUCCUCGUACUUAGAAACCAACUGCUGCAGCUCAUCAUUGAGAUAUAAAGCCUCAAAAAGUGUUUCUUCAUCAUUUGUUGUGCUUUGCACAAUCUCCUUGAUAACAUAGAGUGAUUGCUUGCACUUAUCCAGCAGACUCAAAGUUAAUUCUUCCUGCAACCAAACAAAAAUAUAGUACAAUCCAUCAGAAAAAAUAUAUAUAAUUCUAUCAUAAGAAUAGUAGCCUUGCAUUGAAAAGCAUGUAUCUGAUUUAUGAGUAGUUCUUUAAAAAUCUGUGCAAGAAGACUUCAUACAUACAAUAAACAUCAGAGUCGAAAACAAAACAACAAUUCAGUAUUCAAAAGAUGCUACAUUUACUUAAUUUCAGAAAAGGAUUACCUUUAAAGGUUUUGGCUCUGCCUCAGAAUUUAAUAUGCUAGAGAGAACUUCAAGACUGUUUCGAGCAACCACAAGAUGCUCUUUCUUCUCUUCAACAGAAACGGGUUGGUGGUCAGUAAAGAAAGCCUCUGAGUCAUCCAGAGCAAGAGCAUGUAACCCUGCUACUGGAAUUGGGUAUCUUUCAGGGGGGUUUAAAGAUUGUUGAUAAGUAUGUGACUCUGAGGCAUAUGGAAUUGGUGGUGAAUUUCCUCCUGCCGCGUCAAGUGAUUCACCCCUUCCUUUCAAACUCUGUCAUCAAUGAGAGAGGAAGUAGGAUUCAAAUUAAUGAAAGAGAAAAGGAAGCACAACAAUACAUAAUAAAAAAUAAAAAAUAGAAGGCACCAAAUUCAAAGCUAAUAUACUGUAACAAUAAAAUCCCAAGGUCUCCUGGGAAAAGCUAUUUUACACAGUAAAAUUCUGCAAACAAUGGCUAGAAGUUAUAUAUAACAAUAAAAUCAAGUACCAAAAACAAUUAAGUUACUAUUCAAAGACAAUUUCAAGCCAAUGAUAUUUGCUUCCUUUAAACUAUCAGGAAAUUUUUAACUUGUGCCCUAAAGGCACAUGUUAAAAAAUCAAAUGUAGAAAUAUCAACUGUGGAAAUUGUGCAUUCAAUUCUUUAAUAGCUAAAAAAGUGUUUUUUCCAACAGAAAAAUUCUAUCAUUGAAAUGCUUAACAUGCGCCCUUUAGCCCUUAGGGCACAAAUGACCCAAACUGUUAAUACCUUUGGAUGACUUUCUUAUCCAAAUUUCAAUCAAGUGUUUUUUUGGACCAAUGUCAUUUCAAAUAUUUGAGAGAUAAAGUAAAAUGGAGUAUAUAGAAUGUGAAUUCACCUAGAAACACCUUAAGAAAGCUAGGAAGCCAAAAUGGAAAUCUUACUGUUCCAAAACUCAGAGUAGGCACCUUGAAUCCAUCAUAAAAGUGGUAGCUAUAGAUAAAUAUAAACCAUAGUAUUCAACCUAGGUAGAUGAAAUUUAAAAUAUUCAACUUCAUCAUGAUCAACAUUACUUUUUAUUCCCCUGGGUUUCUAUUAUAAGAAAAUAAUUAUUACUUUUUAGAUUCACAUUGAAUAACCAAUGUCCAUAUACAUUGAUUAUUCAAUGUAUCUAAAGAGUAAUUUUCUUUCUUAUAAUAGAAACCGGAGGGAGUAAGAUUAAAGGAAAAGUUACGACAUAGUCAUAACAACAGAUUAAUUGUUAUACAAGAUGACAGACUCGGGAAUAAAAGAUGGUGGGUCUUAUUUUGGUUUGGGCAUGUGUUGAAACUUGAGAAGGCAAUGAUAUGGCAGAUCAAGAUAGAAGAUAGCUCAAUUAUUAGAGGUAGAAAAAAUCGAGCAAAACAAUAAACUAACCCAUCAAGAAAGAAUCAAAGUUAAAUCAUCUAUAGGGCAGAACAUGAUUCAUGACAAGAACAGGACAGGACAUAAUGACAUCAUUAAGUUCAUAUAACUGAUCCCACCUAAUGGGAGAAAAAAAUUGUUUGUCAUUGUUACCGUUGUUGUUGUUGUCGUCAAAAAACAAACAAUGCCUUGCCUUGUGAUGUGAUACUGUUUCUCAAGCAGUAAUAAUACUAUGUAACGUAUACAUCCAAGAAAACUUAAAAACAAUAAAGAUUAGUAAGUUGUGUAUGCCGUGGUUUGCCAAUUGCCAUAUCAGAAUAAGGCCAAUAGAAAUCCCUGUAGGAAAUUUUACUGGAUGAAGGAUACUCUAAUAAUUAAAUAUAAGUGAAACCAUUGAAAACGACUUUAUCUAUAUAGCUAGUAGCUACUAUAAGUCCUUGUUGUAUGACAAACCAAAAUGGAAAUGCAAUCCGUUGUAUUUAUCAUCUUGUUUGUACCUAUUUAAGUGAAUUAAUUUUAACAUCCUUAAAGGGUAGCCUAAGCCUUACCAUGCAAAAUAAGAUUGCCUAUAAUAGGUACAAUAGAUCUAAUCCAAUGACUAACACUUUGCUUAACUCUUAAUAUCUAGUAAGCACGGACACAGACAUUGACUACAGUAAUAAUUUGGAAGAAAAAAAAAGAAUAAAUUAAACAUAAUCACAAGUGUCGGUGUUGGUUUCAACCGGCGGUGCUACACAGCUCAAAAUAGAACAUCCUCUAUCUACCAUAGUUCUACUAAUAACCUACUAAAUUGAACUCUAUGUUUUUCCCUUAAUUUGAUCAUAACUCAAAUACAUAGACAUAGCUCUAUUAUUCUGUAACACACUUUCUCGCUCUUUCCUGUUACUUGAAAUUUAUUAGGGUCCAAGUAUAAUCUUGGGUGAGAUCAGCUUAAAUUAGGGGACCCAAUUGACCCUGUAAUGUUACAACAAAAGAGGCAUAGUAAAAACAAAGCAAGAAAGAAGAAAGAAACUAACCAAAUAAGUUUGACUGAAAACAGGAAGAUAAGCAAUAUCCUCAGAUUCACCCCAAGCCCUAAUCAACUGUAAAGCCCUUGUUCUAUUAUCCUGAUCCGCCUGAGGAUUAUCAAUCAACCUAACCAUAUCCUCUAGAACCUUCUCGGAAGCAAUUACAGAAAACACCUUUUCACAAUUCAUAGCACAAGUUUCCAACAAAUCAAGGCUAUGUUUCUGAACAACCGGACUCUUCUGAUUGAUCCUCCUCUUGAUGGCUUUCACCACUUCCGAACCAUUAAACUCGUCGGAGUUGAUAAGGCCGCAUAUCCUGAGAUUCAUUCCCCAAUUCGGUUCCUCCAAAGUCUCCGACGUUGCUUCGUCAACCAUCUUCGAUUCCGGCGUCGGAGUUUGGAGUAUUUCCUUCAUUUUGCCGCUUACGAUUCGACUCAGAUUAGCGCUGUUGGUUUUGAGCCUCUCGCCGAAGAGAGCUAGCUUCGAUUUGUCCAUCGGAAGUGAGAGUGAUGAACCCUAGAUCGGAUUGUGGUUUUGUGAGUGAAGGUUAGAAGAAUGUGGAAAUGGGAAAGUGGAAACUGGAAAGUUCAACGAUUGAGAGAGAAAGAGAGAGAGAUUUGUGAUUUGACUAUUGAUCGUGUACUUUUUACGUGGCUCUUUUGAUGUACACGUUUCGGUAAACUACUCACCGUUUUCAAUCUUGACAUUGUAACUGUGUGUUUCGGACCCCAAAUAUAUUCCUUCCAAAUCAGUGGUGAAUUUCAUUCUAGUCAAACACUUUGUCUGUACUGGAAUUUCGUAAUUAUAACUAUUGAAUUGAGAUUUUUAAAAGGUCAUUAUUUCAUAAAUUUUGUGGAUUUUAAUUAAUGUUGUUACAUAUGAUUCAAAUAUUUGUUAGACAAUGUAUUGAGCAAUGUCACACAUUCGAUUUUGAAGUGGUUUAUGGGCAUUUGCAAAAAGAAAUAUGAUAAAUGGGAUGUUUUGACAUUAUAAGAGAAGAGAUUCUAUCUUAAAUUAUUUAUUUAGUAUAUAAAUUUUAAUGAAGUGUAUCUUGUGUUUUUAAAAUUUUAUUUUUUAAUUUAUCCAACUAAAGAGUUUAUUGUAAAGUGCGUUUGAAAAUUUGAGUCUAAAGUAAGAUUUGAAUUCUUACUUAUACCAAAUUUAUAUUUAAUUAGAUUUGUUUUAAUUAAGAUUCAUAAUCAAUUUUAUGAAACAAUCGUAUGAUAGAUAGGUGGUGUAAAACGAGUUUUCAUAUGGAAUAAGGUGAGACAGUUCGACAAUAUCCUUUUUCUUUUCAUCCAUUUUUGCGUCUUAUUAGGAUUAGGCUUCGUGUUCUAUUAUGCCUCGGUGACUAGUCCAAAAUUGUUGCCCUCGAGCCCUGUUUUUUGUCAUGAAGGAUAAGGGUUUUGCACUAGCUAUCUUGUGUGUCCAUAAAAGUUAUCAUGGGAGAGGUCUGAUGGGACGUUGAUAUUCUUAGGAAGAUAUAAUUUUGGGAUAACACUUAUGCAUGACAUUUUAAAAGGCUGGCCAUGACUGACAUGUGCCCUAUAUCCUUGUUAGUCGUCCACAUGAUUAAAUUGGAGAUGUCAGGACAUCAACCCAAUAAUCAUAAAGGAACCCCAAUUGUUGAUAGUGGAUAAUGAUCAUACAAUCUUGAAUCAUUUGAGGAAGUGUACUAGGUUUCCAGAGGGACUUUACUCUUUUUAUUGAUUCCAUACUAACUUUCUUUAGAAGCUCAUUUUCCUUUUUUCUAUUUGCUAUAGUGAUUCUCUUGGUGUGAAGGCUGAUCAAUUAUCCAAGAGAUUUUACUUGUCGAUUCAGUCUCUUACUUGUUCGUGUUUGUACUCGGGCUUCUGAAUUUUGGCGCAUGAGAUUUUCAUCCUCUUCUCCUCUUCGUCAUGUUUAGGGUUUCUUAGCAUUUCAUAUUUAUUCGCUCUGCCUUUGGUUCCUGCAUUUUCUCUUUGAUUCAUGCAAAUAUGGUUGCUUCCUCUAUGUCAACUAGAAGGGUUAGUAGAGAUAUUUCAGAAGUUUGGAUAAGUUCAUAUAUAUCAGGUGUUGUCUCCAUCUUCUCCCAUAGUGAUGCAUUUGUUCAGGCUAUGACUAAUGUGGGUCCGCCUGAGGAUUUAGGUGUUCUUUCCUCGGAUGAGGAUCAAAGAGUAUGUGGUCAAUAUGGUAGGUGUAUUAUCCCAUUCCACGAAUGUUUGUUUCCCUGAUUGGUUAUUGUCUCCCCUUUAAUGAAUUUGAAAUCAGUGUUAUAAACCAUGUGCUUAUUUCCCUUUUGUAAUUCCACCAUAUGAGUUGAGAGUUCAUUAAAAUAUUUCAACAGCGGUGUGAAUAUAAGGGCAUCAAGCUGACAGUGACAUUUGUUUUACGAAUGAAUUAUAAAAAAUCCAUUCGGUGUCUUUUUUCCAUGAGCUUGGCUAUGUAUGAGGGGUGGUUCCCUCUGAUCUUGCUUUUAAGACCCGACUAAAUACAUGCACUCAAACUCGUUGGAUCGUGGAUGUCAAAUCUAAAGAAGAGAGGGGGAAAAUCUUUGGUAUGUGGCCUUAGAGUUUCAUCUUUUUUUCUUUAUUUAAUAUUAUCUAAUAUUCUUGUCUUUUACAGAUGUCAUGAAGAGUUAAGACGUCAUGCAGCGACUAAAGAAAGAGAUUCAAGUUGUCGUUGUCUUGGUUGGAAUUACGAGCACACCCCUUAUUGGUGAGACUUCUGCUUUGGGUACGCUUGCUGGCACCUUGUAUGUUCUUGUUGCCAGACAAGUUACUCAAGUUGUCCUUCCUAUUGACGGGGAUGUGAAUUUGGCUUCCUCUGGUUGCACUUUGGUAGUAGGAAAUUCAUCUUCCCCUAUCUAGGAAAGGGAGAAAAUAUUAUAUCCCAUUCCUAAGUCUAAAGAGGUUUGAUAUUAGGUUUCUUCCCCAAGCGUCUCCGAAGGUCUAGAUUUGUGGAGGAACCAUCAUUUCUUUAUAGGGAUGGCAACCUUGUAUUAUUGACUCGUCUGGGUUUAAGGACAUGUAGUGAAUUUUUUUCCUUGAUUUCUAACAAGGAUUAUUCUUAUUUCUCUUAACUGCUUGACGAGGCUCGUCAAGGCAAAUUGGUCGAACUAGCCUACCAUGUUCAUCAAGAAUAUGUUAUUUUGGCUUUAGGUGUUGCUCACUAGGAAGAGGUUUUUUUGCUUGAUUUUAUUUUUUAGGAAAAGGAAAGGUUGAUGAAGAAAGUUGGUGAUCUUACACUUUAGAGGAAUAUGUGUCUAGAAGAGGUUCAAGAUGUUUCUAACUUAUUACUUGCCAUAGAAACUCCUUUGUAACCCUUGGGGUAUUCUGGUCCUCUUACUGAAAGGGUGAAGUAGUUAGUCCAAGUGGUAAUUGAUAAGCAUUUGGCUUUAACUGAAAUGAACCGAUGUUUGGAGGUUACUUGGAGGAAAAAUAAAGAGUUGGAAAAGGCUUUAAAGGAGUCUUAAGAUAGUCAACAAAAUACUGAGGUCAACCUAACCAACAUGUGUGAGGAAAUCUUUCCCUUUAUAAGGAGUUGCCCAAAUCCUUGCAGGAAGAUUUUUGUGUGGCUAGGGAUGCUUUAAAAUUUCUCUUCGGCAAGUUGAAUAUCUUUAUUCGACUAGUCUCAUUUCUCAAUCUCAGGUUCUUCUUAACCAGAUAAUUAAAAACAGACAAAUGGUUCCUCUGGAUGGAUAGUUUUUUAUUGGAGGUCGGUGGAUGUAAACCUGGUGUAUAUGGAUCUUCACUUGUAAUAUAUAUAUUUUUAAAUAUAUUUUAUUUUGUUUUCUUUUAUUUUAAUGAUACCUUUGUGUAUAUAGUUCAAGUCAUUCCCUUGAGUUUCAUGCUCGGAUUUCAUUGGGCUUCUUUCGGGACCGGGCCCGACCAAGGAUCGACACCCCUUCCCAUGACCCCGGGUAUAAACCUAGUUAAAGGUUGAUGUAUUUGAGGACCUACCAAUGCCUCUGGCGUGACUAGCUAUCAAGAGGGGGUAUACUAAUUAUUUCCCAUUUUAGGGCAUGUUUGUUGUGCUCGUGAUGUGGGGUUUUGAUCGUUUUAGUCAUAGACUUUUAGUGUUUAAGAUAGCUCUCUAAGUUUGUAUGAUAGGGGCUUAGAUCCUUCUAGAUGUACCCCAAACUCAUCUUUACCUUUUCAUGAUAAAUAAGAAUAAAAAUUUAGUGAUAAAUUCUUUAUUUAUUUCAAUAGUUGUAUAACAAUGUACAUGCCAUGUCUUUCUUUUACAAUAAAUGAUAAUUAAAAAGAUAACUUAACCAUGUGGUUUUUGCCACUGCUUAUUUGACUCUGAGGUUUGUGUUUCCUUUUAAUUAUCCAUUUUUUGUUUACCAUCUCUAUUUGUAGUACCUUCUUGGUCAAAGGAUAGUUGGCCAUAUACUUUAGUUGUUUAAUUAACGAGGCCACAUUCAUAUCAAUAGUGGUAGCUUCACCUUUGUUUUGAUCCUGUUGUAAAGCUUGAUAAAUCGUCCUAGCCUAUGUCUGGUCAACACUAAUACUAAUCGGAUCAUUGUGGGUGUUAAGGUAUUUCAUCUUCAAAUGGAAUAGGGAAGCUACUGCGUCCAGCGUCGCCAUGAAAAGUCAAUAUAGGACAUAAUUGGAAACACUUCAACACAGGACAAUCAAGAAUUGGGAUUCAACGAUUCAAGUAUUUUGUCCUUCCCUAACACUAAACACCAGCUCAAUGUAUCCCCAUGGAUGGGACAUAAUGCCAUUAAAGGCUUGUAAAUAUGACCCAUCAUAUGGUAAUAGUUUAUCUUUCUUCAAUCCUAUUUUCUCAAAGAGGUCAGUAUACAUGAUAUCACAAGAACUUCCUUUAUCAAUCAUGACUCGAGACACAUAAAAUAUGGAUAUGAUUGUCAUUAUCACCAAAGGGAAUAUCUUGUUCUAGAUUCCUCCCACCUUUUUACUAUCUCAAAAUUCAAAUAUCGACCUUUCUGGGUUGGUGGAUGAGGUGAUUCCCUCCUUUUUGCUUAUAGCCAUUAACUCGAUAAUCUUCCUAUUUAUUGUACCUUUGGAUGACACUCUUAAUUUGGGAUCCCUCGGUUAUAGAGGCGAUAUACUGACGUUUUCCCUUAUAUCCUUUGCCUUUUUCGCUAUAGGCUUUUUUACCCUUUCCCCCGGCCACGACUUUGAUUGUCAUCUUGGGGGAUUGUCUUUUCUUUGGAGAUUCCCCUAUACUCCUUUUACCAUCCUUGGUAUAUUCAUAUAGACAUCUUUUCUUGAUAAUCCCUUAGAUCAUGUCCUUGAGUUGAAUUUAAUUCUUGAUAUUAUAACCAUGAAUUUUGUGGAAACUAUGAAAAAGACUCCACCUUGACUUGGCUAGGGUUUUGGAGAAGACAAAUACAUAAACAAAAGAAGAAAAAAACAAAUUCAAUAAUGAUUAAUAAAGAAGAAAAAAAUGAAGACAGUAAUCGAUUAUGAAAAAAUGGCAAAGAUCAACAUUGAACAAAGUUUAGAUUGUCUUUAUCAUUGAUAUAUCACGAUUCAUCUUAUAUAUCACUUAAAAGCUCAGAAAAUAUUGUUCAAAUUUAAUCUGAAAUGUUUUUAAAAUUAUCACAUAAAAACCUUUGAAGUUGUGCCUUAAAAGAUGAAUUUAGUGCUGGAAUGGAAGUGGUAUUCGGCUAUCAGUAUGUGGUAUUCGAAUACCAGUGUCAAUUUUAAAAAAAUGGAACAUUACAAAGUGGUAUUCGGCUACCAGGAUAUGGUAUUUGAAUACCACCUGAACCAAUGUGUUUUUUCAUCUAACAUAAUCAUAAUGGCAAAGCUUCAUGGAACAGUUUCAAACUUUUGCAAUCAUUUAUAGAGGUUUUUAUAAGUGUAUAUAAAGCAACGUACACUAGAAAAUGAAUUACCAACUUUCAAAAUCAUAUUUAUAAGAAUCAAAUAUCAUUUUCAAAGUGUUCUUCAUUUUUCAAAUGGUUUGAAACUAUGUGAAUUUUCAUAAACAAGAAAAAGCUUCAUAAACCAAAAUAGACUAUGAGUAAUUAAAUGAUAUACCUUGAAUUGUCAUAUUGAGAAAAUAAAUUAUAUAAUCCCAAGAUUGGAUUUGACAUUCAAUAGCCUACUACAUUCUUCAUUUCUCAACAAAGUUGAAGUGCUUGUGUUUUUUCAUCAUUGUGCAUUGGUGAAAUGUGUUUGUAAAUCGAAGGUGGUGUAUUUUAUGAUUUAUCUGAGGAUCAAUAUAGUGUUUGGUGAUUGUAAAAAAGGUUCUUUAAAUUGGGGUGAUUCAAGAUCCACCAAGGAUUUGGUGUUUGUAUAUGUUUUAGAAGAUUGUAAAAAGGUCUUGGUGAAGACUUGUACAAGGAUCUAAUCAUAGUGUAAAAUCCUCUAAGGAGUAAAUGGACUAGAUGUACCCUUAUUUUAUAAGGGGAACUAGUAUAACUCUUGUGUGUUCUUUAUCUUUAUGCCUUUAAAAUUAUGCACUUUAUAAUAAUAUUAAAGUAGCAUUCAACCACUUGUUUCUAGUAAAAUUAAAAGUUAAAAAAACAUUGCAUAAAAUCAAGGAAAAUCCAUAAAAUCUUAUCCACCCCUCCUUGUGAUUGUCUCUCAUAGUUACAUUUAGAAUUAGAGUAAGAGUUAGGUAAAUUGCUCCUAGAUUUGGGCUUUAAUGGUUUAUGUAAAACCUUUCUUAGGAGAAGCAAAUAGCACCAACAGACAACCGAGUUUCACCGGGGAGUGUUAUGACUUUUGAAAGAUUAGAAUGUAAAUGUUUCUAGAAUUACAAGGGGUAGAAGUUUGGAGAUUAUACAUAAAUGGUCCAUACAUUCCUACUUUACUUGUUAAUGGUGUAAGUUAAACAAAACCUAAAGAUACAUGGAAUGAUGAUAAUAACAAGAAAGUUAUAUAUGAUAAGAAAGUCAAAAUUAUAGCAUCUUCCUUUGAGGUGGAUGGAUUUUUCAGGGUGUCUAAUUGUCAAACUUCUAAAUAAACAUGGGAAACCUUAGAGAUCACACACGAGUGUACGAAGGAAGUAAAAUGAUCUAGACUAAAUAGUUUCUCUCAAGAAUAUGAGAUGUUUAGAAUGCAACCAGGAGAAAGAAUUAUAGAUUUGCAAAAAAAGGUUCACUCAUUUGACAAACCAUUUAACUGUUAUUGGAAACCUUCACCGACAAUGAAUAAAAUUUAAAGGUCCUUAGAUCCUUAACAAGGACAUGGCAACCGAAAGUAACGAAAUUUUUAAAAAAAAUAAAAGUAUAUCUAAGAUGACAUGGCGACAUUAUUUAGAAAAUUGCAAGAACACGAAUUAGAACUUGAACGAUUGGAGAAGCAUGAAGGACGUGAACAUAAAGUUAGAUCCCUUGCAUUAAAAACUUAAGUCAAAGAUUAUGAUAGUGAUGAUGAAGAAGAAUCUCAAUUUGAUGGUCAACAAGAUUAUGAAAAUAUAUAAUUACUAGUUAAGAAGUUUGAAAAAUUCUUGAAAAGAGACAAAACAAUAAAAAUUAGCCAAAGAAAAAAGUUUAAUGAAGAAUAAACUUCAAGUCAAAAGAUCAUGUGCUUUGAAUGUGGAAAACAAGGACAUAUUAAGAAUAAUUUUCCUUUUCUAAAAAAAAAAGAACAAAAAAAGAAGGAUAAAAAAUCUAAGUAGAGCAUAUAUGCUUGCGGAGACCAUGGUGUGAGUAAAAAUUCAAAAAAUAAAGAACAAACACAUAUAUCUUUCAUGGUUUCACAUUACUCUGAUGGUGAUUAAGAGGUUAGUAAUUUUGACUCAAGUGAUAAACUUUAUUAUGAUGAAUUAUAAGAUGUUUUUAAUGAUUUACAUGAUGAAUGUCUAAAACUUUCUAGAUUAUGUGCUAAGCAAAAGACUAUUUCUUCUUUAGAAAGUAAAACAAAUGUUAUGCAAGAAGAGUUAGACAAAGUUAAAACCAAAAUAGACAUUCAUGGUAAUUGUUUAUCAUCUAUUAAAUGUGUAUCUCUUGAAUCUAAAAUUGAUAAAAUAAAUCAAGUGAUGUGCAUUUAUGAAAAAGACAAAAAUGUAUUCGAUAAUGUUCUAAGUAAUCAAAUAUAUGUUAAUGAUAAAAGUGGACUCAGAUAUUCUAAAUUUGAAUAUUCUAGUCAAAUAAAAAAGAUUAUCUUUAAAUGUUUGUAGCAAUCUUCAAUCUAGAAAAGUAUCUCAUAAUGUCCAACCUAAAAAGGAUUAUAAUAAUAAUAAUUAAGUUUAUUAUCAUAAAAAGAAAAUUCCUAACAUGACACAUACUUGUUUUAUUACAAUUGUGAAAGUCAUACCACCAAUGCAUGUUAUGUUUAAAAAAAUGGUAUACCCAGUGGUAAAUAUGUGUGGUUGAGAAAUAAACUAACCCAAAAGGAUCCAAAGAAUAUUGGGUACCUAUAAAUAUCUAUUGAUUUUAUUUUAUAGGUGCGUUUGAAAACUAUAUGCUAAAAUUGUAAUAUAAAGAUUAUUUAUUCAAGACACAAGAACACCAUAUGAUAUGGUAAGGUUAGAAAUCAUUUGGCUAAAGAUGAAUUGAAAAAAUUAACUCUUUUAAUUAGCAUUGUAAAAAAGAGCAAGUGUGUUAAUAUAUGAUAUUAUAUUUUUUCAUUUAAAAACUUUAUUUAUAAUGAUGUAUUUUCACCCCAUAGAUUGACUUUUGUUCAUAUGAAUUGUGUUAUUUCCCUCUCUGUUAUGUUCUAUUGGAUUAUUCUACUUUUUCUUCAUUUUGAUAAUGUCAGAAAAGGGGAAGAAAUGGUAGCGUAUGUUUAUUCUUUUUCAUGAUAUUUUUAGGAGGAGAAAGUCUUAAAUUGAAAAAGACGGGGGAAAAUAUACAAGACAUUCGAAGUUUCUAGUUGUUGCAUAUAUUACAAGAUUCAGAAAUAUUAAAGCAACUUGUUGAUAAACAAGAAAAUUUUAAAUGAUACUUGUCAUCAUCAAAAAGGGGGAUAUUACGAAGAAGAUCUUUUCCUUGACCUUGGAUAGGGUUUUAAUAAAGACAAAUUCAUCAACAAAAUAAGAAAAAUAUAAAGUCAACAAUGAUCAACAAAUAAGGAAAAAGAUGAAGACAAUGAAUGUUAAAGAUGAAGACAACAAUCAAUCAUGACAAAAUGGCAAAGAUUAACAAUGAACAAAGUUAAGAUUAUCUUUAUCUUUGAUAUAUCAUCAUUUAUCUUAUAUAUUACUUAAAGUCUUAUAAAAUAUCAUUCAAAGUUAACCUAAAAUGUUUUUGUUUCAUUAUGGAACCAGAAUUGAUGUAUGUCGAUGGUGAGGAAUUCUGAAUCGGUGGUAACUAUAAUAUGGCGGAGCGAGGUGAGCCUGCAAGGUUAGUACUCUAAUGCCCAAGUCGGUUCAGGAUUCAAGAUGAGUGUAGUAAAGAAAUGGGGAUCAUAAAUUGUACUUUUAAUGUCAUGUGUCAUGGCAUUUAUAUGUUGGAUCAUUUCAAAUAGAUUUGUAUUGGAUUGGGUAUUAGCUUGUGAGCCUUUCGCCGACCCAAAACUAUUUCCCUCAAGGCUUGUUGGAUGGGUAGUUGGGGAAGUCUUAGAAGUCAUGGCCAGACUCUAAUAAUGUUGUUCACUCUUGGUCAUAAGUGGAAACGUUUUGGACCAGUUGCAAAAUUAGUGGGGAACAAGCUCAAUAAAUGCCUUCACAUCAUUGAAACAUUUCACUGCUCAUCCUUAACGUAUGGCUUGAGAUGACAAGUUAGGGCAUGAAUAUCCUUAUAGUUCACUUGAGUGCACUUGAUUUUGUUUAUGUCCCCUAGGAGGAAUCCAACCAUAGAUCUUAUAACCUCUCUCUUCCGCUAAUAUGUUAUGUGGCUUGCCUUCACACACAAUAUAUAUAAGGGUUUUCGAGUGUUGAGGGAAUAUUUUACAAUCUUUGAGAGUCAGUUUCUAUUUAUUAGUGCAUUUGUCUCUUAUUUUUCCAAGAGUACUUGUCAGGGAGAUUGUUGUCCCUUGAAAAAAGCUUUCAUUCUUCCCUACUAAACUUCACUUUUCAUCAACCUUUACUUUAUUAGGUACUCUCCAUACCUCACGCUUUUUAUAACUUUAACAUUUCCUUUAUCUUAACCAAUAUGAGAUGUAGUCCCAUUAUUUUCCUAUUAAUUAUGAGAAUGGUGAGUCUCAUGUAUUUAUGUCAGUAAUGUCUUCUGGUUCAAACUCUUCCCCUUUGACCACUGAUCAACUGACCCAUAAGGUCAUAUCUAUAAUUGAUGAUUUUUAUUUGGAGCUCUCUAGGGGUUCUCCAGAUGGAAGAUAUUCCUUUGUGGAUUUUUCCUUAUAUUCUCUCUCUUUUUAAGAUGAUGUUGAAGGUGAUUGUGUGUUCGCUUCCAUGCCUCAUUCUUCGCAUGCGUAAGAACUUUGACUUCUCAUACUUUGUUGACUCCGAAAAUACAGGUUGCUAUUAUGAAAAGGGAGGAUGUUAAAGAUAAAGUAUGUGCUUAUCAAAAAUCCUACAAUCGAGAACCUAACGAUACCAACAUCAAGGACCAUCUAGAGUGUAGAGCUUGGCUGGACAGAGUUUGAUGGCUUAAACCCUCAUAAAUCUUUAAGGUCAAUGAGUUAUCCCUAAAAGGGGUUUGACUAGCAAAGUUGAAAGACGCGAGUAGAUACAAUUGGAUGGAUGCUAAGAUAAUAGGAACCUUCUCCCUUUAAAUACCUGGGCGGUCAUAAGCGCAACCAACAUCUCGGUCGCCCGUCCUUUUGAUUGGUCAGUCCUUUUAGUAGAUCCAAAAAAAGAAUAUGCAACACUUUUAAUGGGUGUCUAGUCCACUUUUGUGAGUGUUUAUUUACUAGGGUAAAUAUGAUAUUGCCUUUAUCUGAAUUUGAGGUGGAGGUGUUGAAGUAUAUGAAGGUUUCCCCCUUUCAGCUUCACCCGGGUUCCUAGGCUUAUUUGAAGAUGUUCCAAUUUUGGGAUGAGUAUAGAUCUUGGAAACCUUCUCCCCGACUAUUUUCCAAUUUGUUCCUAGUUAUACACACUUCCCAGAAUGAUAUUCAAUAUCAGAGGCAUAUUGAGCUUCAUUAGCAUACUCCCUUAUUCAGAAAUUUCAUUGAGGAUUUAGGCGAUUUUAUGGGGCACUUCGUGUUGGUGAGGCCUCACACUCAUGAGGAUCGCUUUGCCUUAUUCUCCAGUCCUGCCAAAUAUUCUCACUCUUGUAAGGGUGGGCUUUGGAAAUACUGGGUUUGGCCUCAUUUUCAUUCAGAGUCUCAUACGUAUAGCAUUUAACUAGAUUCCUUUACUGUUGAAGAAGUUAUGAUGAGCAGGAACUUAGAGCCUUUAUAUUAGAGACUCAACUAUCAAGAAGGCUUUGGCCCCGACAAAAUGUCUUCAUCUACUAGAAUAAGAAAUAUAUUGACACUCGUGCUAUUAUGAGUGUGGUCAGUCAUUCUGAUAAGAAAUAAAUCUUUGGUGAGGAUGGAGUCCUUCAACUUUUUUAACAUGCGCGUUUGCACUUGCAGAUAAAAUGGGUUAUUUGUAGAAAGUUUAUUCCAUUGCUAAUUCUCAAGGUGUCAACACUGGUCCCCCGGCUCGAACUGCUACUCAUCAUCCCACAAAUCUUGUCGCAUCCUCUACUACCGAGGCUACCUCAACUGCCUCCAGAGCUGACCAACUUAUCUUUGACGUUCUUGCCCUGUAUGUGGAGGAUCAAACUUAGGAUUCUACUACCUCAAAGAAGAGAGACCUUGAUUCGGACCAGAGUCUCGUUCUAGAGGAAGAUUCUCCAAAACGGUCUUGUUUUUCUAGGGGGUACUGCUUCAGGAUCGACCACUCCCCUUCUCAAAUUUCCUCUCAUCUUUGCUUCUUAGAUUCCUCGCACUCUUGAGAAAGUUUGCUAUAUUCACAAAAUAUCUAGCCUACCUCAAAAAUCUACCUGAGACAGACAAGAUGGAGCUUUUCUCUAAGGCUACCUUCUACACUUACCGAAUGACUUCUCCAUUUUCACUGGUUGUUGUUGGUCGAGGCGAUGUCUUGGCCAUGGGUAAUCCUUCAAAAGAGAGGGAUACCUGGAAGGGGAAUGUGAAACUAUAAAGUGAAAAUGUUCCAAGUUUUAGGAAGAUAUAUAUGUUCUCUAGGAAAAGAUUAUAUGUGUUAAGGCUUUCUAGGAGGAGAUGAAGUUCCAUGGAUAUCCUUCUACUUUAACAACCCAAAUUACCAAGGUAUAUUCUUCCUUAGAGGCAGAGAAAAAGUAUUGCCAACAAAAAUUUGCUUCCGUUGAAGAGGCAAAUCGUCGUGCUAAUGAGGUUGGAAAAUCCCUUUAAUAGGAGAAAAAUCAUUGUGUUGAAGAUUAAAGGCCUCAUGAUGGCCAGGUGGCUGAGCUAAAUGAGAGGGUUUGGGAGUCUCUUUAUGAAUAAGUAAAAGUAUAAAUCAUAAUGAAAUGGACUAAAAAUAGUUAUGUAAUUUCAACGAUGUUACAAUGUUGAAUGGUGAAAUUGGGUUUUUUCCCUCAACCAUAAAGGCCCAAUAUCAACUCCUAUUUAAAGAGAAGUAAGAGAAGGGAAGGGUGGACAAUCUUGUGACUUAAAUUUCACGGUGAAGCGAUUUCUAAAUUUAUGGAGCAAAGGUUUUCAUCACCGAAAGUCAAACUUAAAUCAAAAGUUCGUGUAUUGUUUCUUCAUUACUUCAGUCAUGUUUACUAUGAGUAUGAAUAGUUAAGUUUUAUUGAUCAGGUCUUGUUAGACGAGCAUGUUGGGAUAAGUAUGAAUAGCUAAGAUUCAUAUGGCAUAUGUUUUAGAAUUGCAUAUGGCUAGGUUUUAUAUGCUUAUAAUAAUUUAUGUGUAAGUGUAGAUAUGUGAUAGAUUCAGUCAUUCAAGUCUCUUGUCUGGUGAUUGUAUAUGUAUAGACUUUUAAUUUAAUAUUGACUUUUUUAUUAAUAAGAUUCAAUUUAGACACCCCGGGAUAAAUUGAAUUCAGAAAAAUGAUGCAUUGAUCAUUUUGCGCCCUCAACUUCCAUCUUCUUUGUAUUUUAUGAUAUUAUGAGUAAACCAUGAAAUCAAUCUGAUUGCAUAUUUUAUAAAAUUCCACUUGUAAGCUUUUUGAACUCUAAUUUUGAAGAAAACGGUUUGAAAUAGGUUUUAAGGGAAAUGUCUAUUCAAAUCCACAUCCCUUUCUUGACCAUUCUUCACCCAUAUUCUUCCAAAUAGUUCUUUCUCCGUUGUGGUGACCUCCAUAAGAUGAGAUAUGACAAUACCAUAUGAUACUUAUUACUUUGUCCCAUCUACACAUCCGAUUUUAAAGUUGAUCAUAUCAGCAAACCAUGGUCUUUUCAAUAACCACAAAUGUUUUCUCAUCUCGAAACUCCUCUAAUAUUAUACUCUUCUCCUUAUUUGUAACAUCAUAAAUCUCUAGUCUUGAUAAGUGAUCAAAUACCACAUUCUCGACUCCCUUCUUAUCUUUGAUCUCCAGGUCAAAGUUUUAAAGAAAAAUAACUCAUAUUAACAAAUAGGUUUUGACUCUCCUUAAUUCAACUAAGUGUCUGAGCGUUGUACGAUGAUAUGUAAACACAAUAACUUUGGAACUAGUUAGAUAAGAGUAAAAAUGUCCCAAUACAAAUAUUAUGACGAGUAAUUCCUUCUUAAUGGUAGUCUAGUUUACUUUUCAUUCAAGAUUUGUUCACAUAAUAUAUAGUAUGGAUUUUAUUUUAUUUUAUUGACUUCAAGUUCGUAAUCACUAGCAUUGCAAAUCAGUUUAAAAAGUAAUGAUCAAUUAAGGAUUAUGAUUACGGAAGCGGUCCCAAAUCAAUUUAAAAAGAAAAUAGUCAAGUGAGGGUUAUGAUUACGAAUGUGAUGGCUAACUUUUCUUAAAUAAGUAUUAAAGAACUUAAACAAUCAUCAUCAAAUUUAAAGCAAAUCAAUUGUUAUUGAUCCAAAUAAUUUGUGUGAUUUUAUAUAACAUAUAUGACUAUAUUGUAAAUUGUAAUUCAAGCACUUUAAUUUGAAGUUGUUAUCGUCCACCUAUAUUCAACUACACAAAAUUGUGCUUUACCAUUAAACUUUAAAAAUUUGUACAGACCAUGAACUAAAUCCUAUCCAACAUACAAUAUACAGACAUUAACUAGCUUGAAAGUGAAUCAGGUUCAUAUAUCUAGAUAUUACAAGACAGUAAUGAUCAAACUCACGUACAUAUGUAAAAAGAGAAAUCAAUUAUAUACUAUACAUGGUCCCCAACACCACCGAUUUCAGCUAGCUAUCUAAUUACUCAACUCUCACUUGAAGCCACCUCUGCUGUAAUGAGACAUUUUGAUUUUAUGAGGUGUAACACACAAGGCUUCCAUAACCAUGCAAGAUGAAGAAUGUCGAAUGGUCAGCAACUCAUGUAUCUUCUUGGAGCCGAUGUGUCCCUCCUAUACUUUCCUAUGUUUCACUAUAAAUCCCUAUGCCAGAUUAAGGUUCUUCGCGUCACAAACAUAUAUUCUAUCCAACUAUGGCUACUAAGCUUCUUGCACUUUCUCUUUCAUUCUGUUUUCUACUUUUGGGGGGCUGUUUUGCUUUGAGAGAACAGCCAGAGCAAAAUGAGUGCCAGCUAGAACGCCUCAAUGCCCUCGAGCCUGAUAACCGUAUAGAAUCGGAAGGUGGGCUCAUUGAGACUUGGAAUCCCAACAACAAGCAAUUCCGAUGUGCUGGUGUGGCCCUCUCUCGUGCUACCCUUCAACGUAACGCCCUUCGCAGACCUUACUACUCCAAUGCUCCCCAAGAAAUUUUCAUCCAACAAGGUUACUUAUUUUAAUCUUAUACCAACUUCUUUACGUACAUUACAUGCAUAUUAGCAUACUAAUUAGUGUUCUACUAUACCAAUUACAGGUAAUGGAUAUUUUGGGAUGGUAUUCCCCGGUUGUCCUGAGACCUUUGAAGAGCCACAAGAAUCUGAACAAGGAGAGGGACGCAGGUACAGAGACAGACAUCAAAAGGUUAACCGAUUCAGAGAGGGUGAUAUCAUUGCAGUUCUGCCAGGUUCCUACUGGUAUUGUAUUUUGGAUGUACAACGACCAAGACACCCAGUUAUUGCCGUCUCUCUUACUGACAUUAGAAGCUCCAUAACCAGCUUGAUCAGAUGCCUAGGGUGAGCACUGAGCAUAAUUAAACUUCCCAUAUAAGAAUAUGUUGUCCAAAACAGUAACAUAGAUUCUAUCUAUCUAGUUUGACAGAGAUUCUAUCUUGCUGGGAACCACGAGCAAGAGUUUCUACGAUACCAGCAUCAACAAGGAGGAAAGCAAGAACAAGAAAAUGAAGGCAACAACAUUUUCAGUGGCUUCAAGAGGAUUUCUUGGAAGAUGCUUUCAACGUGAACAGGCAUAUAGUAGACAGACUUCAAGGCAGGAAUGAAGACGAAGAGAAGGGAGCAUUGUCAAAGUGAAAGGUGGACUCAGCAUCAUAAGCCCACCCGAGAAGCAAGCGCGCCACCAGAGAGGCAGCAGACAAGAGGAAGAUGAAGUGAAGAUGAAGAGAGGCAGCCGCGCCACCAGAGAGGCAGCAGACAAGAGGAAGAGGAAGAUGAAGAUGAAGAGAGGCAGCCGCGUCAUCAAAGGAGAAGAGGAGAGGAGGAAGAAGAAGACAAGAAAGAGCGCCGCGGCAGCCAAAAAGGCAAAAGCAGAAGGCAAGGAGACAAUGGGCUUGAGGAAACAGUUUGCACUGCUAAACUUCGAUUGAACAUUGGCCCGUCUUCAUCACCAGACAUCUACAACCCUGAAGCUGGUAGAAUCAAAACUGUUACCAGCCUGGACCUCCAGUUCUCAGGUGGCUCAAACUAAGUGCUGAGCAUGGAUCUCUCCACAAAGUAUGUUUUUUUCAUAUUUUAAUUUGUUUUUCCAUGAAUCAAUUUCAUGUCGAACUAUGUGCUAACUCAUUACAAUCUUCAUACAGAAUGCUAUGUUUUGUGCCUCACUACAACCUGAAUGCAAACAGUAUAAUAUACGCAUUGAAGGGACGUGCAAGGCUACAAGUAGUGAACUGCAAUGGCAACACACCCGGUUUUGAUGGAGAGCUAGAAGCCGGACGUGCAUUGACAGUGCCACAAAACUGGCUGCAAAGUCACUAAGCGACAGGUUCUCAUAUGUAGCAUUCAAGACCAAUGAUAGAGCUGGUAUUGCAAGACUUGCAGGGACAUCAUCAGUUAUAAAUAAUCUGCCGUUGGAUGUUGUGGCAGCUACAUUCAACCUGCAGAGGAAUGAGGCAAGGCAGCUCAAGUCCAACAAUCCCUUCAAAUUUCUAGUUCCAGCUCGUCAGUCUGAGAACAGAGCUUCGGCUUAGAUUUCGCACCAAAUCAAUGAAAGUAAUAAUGAAAAGUCUGAAUAAGAAUACUUAGGCUUAGAUGCCUUUGUUACUUGUGUAAAAUAACUUGAGUCAUGUACCUUUGGCGGAAACAGAAUAAAUAAAAGGUGAAAUUCCAAUGCUCUAUGUAUAAGUUAGUAAUACUUAAUGUGUUCUACGGUUGUUUCAAUAUCAUCAAACUCUAAUUGAAACUUUAGAACCACAAAUCUCAAUCUUUUCUUAAUGAAAUGAAAAAUCUUAAU
rnacentral:lncRNA from 1 species